CGCGCGCCUGCGGCCGCUCGCCAGUCCCAAGGCUCCGAUGCUGCUGCUAGCUCCCGCCGAGGGCGCUUAGAACUUCAUCAGGUGCGGGCGGUCGCCGUCCUUCAGGGUGAAGCGGGUCGACAGGUAGCCCUUCAGGUCGGCCGACAGGGCCGGCAGCAGAGCGGCGUCCAGGGUCUUCUGGUUGGCGAUGUACUCCUGGCUGAGCACGUUCUUCUUCGCCUCCGACUGGUCGAAGAACUCCUUCUCGCCCUUCUUGCUCGACUUGCUCUCCACCGCCUUGAAGUAGCUGUCCGUGAACUUCGACAGGUCCAGCUUGGGCAGCGACACCUUGGUGCUGGUGCCAAUCACGUACGCGGCGUUGACGCGACGCACCGGCACACCGUUCAGCUUGAACGGGCCGGUAACGAGCAGCAGGCCCGAAGGCAGCUGGCCCAGGAAGAUGACACGCUUGCCCUUGAAGCGACCGGCCAGCAGAAUCAGCACGGUGCCUGGCGUGAUGCUGGCGCGCAGCUUGGUCUGCUUGUGCACAGCGUUGUGCGACAGAGGCUUGGGCACAUCAUCGGCGGGGUAAAAGCGGGGAGCCUUGCCCUCAGCCUGCUUGGCCACAGCCUUCUUGGCGGGCGCGGGGAACUUGCCGCCGUUCUUCUUCUUGAUCGCCCACAGACCCUUGCGCCUGCAGACAGAGAAGCGGCGGUCAGCAUUGCGGCGGCGCCCACACAGCCGAAGAGUGCGCUAUAACUACACAGGACGCUUCAACCUGCAAAGGUAUACAGGUAAACAUUGCGAGGGCCGCCGGCAACAAGCAACCCGCCGGAAAUGCGCUCACUUGUAGGUCUUGGCCCGGCCCUCAGCGGUGAUACCGCGGGCAACGAAAGUGGCGGGCUUGGCCAUGGUGCUACGUCCACCUGCUGAAAGAGAGAGAGUGGUGUUCGCCUGCCGCUGUGAAGGGUCUCGCGAGUCACAUUGCAUGGGGAAUGGGGGCGGCCGGCAUAGCCCACAUUUCCCAAUCCUAUGACGCUAAACUGGCUUUAUAUUAAUACCUUAAUACAAUAGUUGCGACAGUGAGGCUCUCUGAGGGCUAGUAGACCUAAUCGCGACCAGAUUUCUCCCGCAAGGCCGCUAUAGUAUCCGUUUACGCAUAGGACUAGCGUCAUGAGACGUAAUGGACUGUCGCCAAGCCAUCGUCCAGGACUUUCUGCGUCGGAAGCGGUUUCAGACACUCCCCAGCGUGUGCCUCCCCCACACGCCACUUGGCGGGCCGACGGCAACCGGUUCCUUUGCCCCUCUGCGCUGCAUUGCGAACAUGCCGGCGGCUGUACCUGCUCCCAGAGACUCACUCUUGGUUCAUGUGUGUGGGUGGGUUGCAGGGGUUGCAGGGACAGCAGGCUGUGAUGGCGCAGGCCGUUGCCUGGGGUCCCGCAACGGCAGUAGACAUCGACUGCAGGCCACCUACGCACAACAGCGCAGCCCAUCUCCUCUUGACAGGCUGGUAUCGCUGCUACGGUAGCCUUCUGCUGUGGCCAACUCAGCAUGCAAGAGCCUGGUCGCUGCAUCGGGGCUCAGGGUUACCCCGCGUGUGGCUGCAACGCUACCGUUCCGGGCUCGUGGCGCUAGCCCGACCGCGGCCUUCCCCUCCCCAGUGCAACCCUACACGCGCCCCCUUUCCGUCUGGCAGGAUGCUACGCAGCCCAUCACGCCUCACGCCCUGCGCCUUGGCUUCCCCAUGCAGGCAGCAGCGCUGCGCGCGGCAGGAUGGCUGGCGCCGGCGCCUCGCCGCCUUUGCAGCGCCCGCCUUUGCAGCGCCCGCCUUUGCAGCGCCCGCCUUUGCAGCGGCUUGCCAGGGCUGGGGCCUGCCAGGGCUGGGGCGGCGCCGCUGGGGCCACUCCCUCGCGCGCGGGCUGUCGCUGGCGCAGCGGCACCUGGCACAGGCACUGGCUGCGCGGGCACCGGUGCCGCAGACCGGGGCGGGCAGCGCGCGCAUGUGUGUGUGUGGGCCCCCACCGAGCGGCUGCCUGUGGGAGGCGGAUGCGGCCGGGUGUGCACGUGUGUUCAGACGGCAACGCCGGAGUAGCUGCGCCCACCGAGCUGCCCCCCGGGCGGCACGGUGCUCAUCGCGGGAUGCACGGCACACAGCAAGACACGCCGUACCGCACGACAUGCAGUACCGCACCGUGCCGGCCGAGCCCUAGCCCGGGAGCGGGACAUGCAACGCGGCGGUGGCUGCGGCGGCCUGGCGGCGGUGGCGCUAGGCAGCCUGGCGGGGAAGCCGCUGCGUUCUGUUCGUGCUCGCUGCGGCAUGAGGAUGACUGCGCCCGGUGGUUCUCACCGCCAUGCUCAACCUCGUGUCGCUCAUGCGCCUACGCUCAGUGCCUGUGGUGGUGCGCAGGCGCUUAGGGACGUGGGCAGGCGGGGAUCUUGGGCGGCGCUGGGAGAAGCUGCACGGGAGGCGGAGGGUAUGGCCACCCAUGGGCAUGGCAGGGCAGCUGGGGGCCGUUGCACCCGGCGCCAUUGCACCUGUGCCGGGCGCUGUCCAGCGUGCUGGUGUGGGCCCGGGAAAAGCCGCCAUUACACACACACACACACACACACACACACACACACACACACACACACACACACACACACACACACACACACACACGUGCAUUUGCCGUCAUGCAUGCGCCCAUGCCGUCCCCCGCCUGUUUACUUGCUCGUGGUCGCCCACCCUCCGUCUCUUUCCUAAAUCGCGCAACCCCUAGUAUAGUUAAUUGGGCUGGGACUGGGCUGCGUGUUUGCUCUUGCUCGUCGCGCGCCGCCGCGCUAACAUGUUCCUUCGCUCUUGUUCGUGACACUCCCCUGCUGCCGCCCUGUGCUCUGUUGUUUUCUUAUUCGCUCGUAGGUGAGAAUUUCAUCGAGGAUUGGGCGGGAGCUUGGACUUAGCGGCCAGGAGUAGCGACGCGGAGCUAGGAAUUGUAGGAGUGCUUGGGCCUCACGGUACCGUGAGCACAUGCAUGGGUUUGCACCCUUGAGAGCGUGUGGACACUAAUCCCCCCUCGAGGUUAGAGUAGCGGGGGUUGCGCGAUUUCCGGUUGGUAAGACCGGCGGCUCACCGCAGCAGGUAUGCGAGGUAACUUCAGGUAACAUCCGUAAACCGUCGCUUUGCUGCAUCGCAUACACUGUCUUUGCGCAACGUUUUCCUUGUGCUCUUUAACACACACACACACACACACUGCAUCGCAUACACUGUCUUUGCGCAUCGUUUUCCUUGUGCUCUUUAACACACACACACACACACACACACACACACACACAUUCACCGUCGCUUUGCUGCAUCGCAUACACUGUCUUUGCGCAACGUUUUCCUUGUGCUCUUUACACACAUUCACACACACAUUCAAACACACAUUCGUUUUUAGUGGCGAGUCUUUGCGCUUUGUUCUGGUGCUCUUUGAAAUACAGCGGCCCGCGCUCCAAACCUGCACGUGUGCCGCUGUCAGCUGUCCGCUAGCAACUUGCCGCGGACGCCGCCGUGUGUCCCUACUCCCUACACGGGCACGUGCUGAUUACCGUGCCGGGGAGGUGCGCUGAUCGUGCCCACCUACCCCGCCUACCCGCCCCGCUUGCCUCCACACCACGGGCGGCCGGGCGCUUGGCGAGCGGCCAGGUGCGGUGGCCUGCGGCCACCCUCCAUGAUGCCCUGCAUCAGUGCAUGCUAUGGCCUAAGGCGGCGCGCCGGGCUAGGGGCCCACCGUGGGGCUCACCCCAAGCUCACUCAGGUCUUAGGUGCUCGCCGCCUGUACGUGUUCCCGUGGUUGGCCUGCGGCCCUGCGGGCUACGGCCCCGCCCCCACAUGAAGCUCUUCACUUCCUCAGCCCCCCCCCAAAGUGCCACCGGGUGCCUUCAACACGGCAGCACCCCUGCCUUGCAAAGGACUCUGUGGUGAUGGAGUGACUGAGGGACUGGACCCGCGGACAAAAAGCGCUUUGGCUGGCAGCCAGUGCCUUCAGAGGUCCAGACCGUGGCUUGGUGUGUGUGGGGCACACGCUUGCGGCGUGAUGUUAAGGCUUGGAAGCUUGCGGAGUGCGUGGAGUGCGCCGCGCGGGGGCCUGGCUGAACCUAGCACUCCCAAUGUGGUAAACGCAGGUGGGUCGUGUCCAUCUGUCACCUCUGGCCUCCACUCUCAAACAUGUGCACAUAAUUAGCCUGCACGGCGUGGCUGAAAGGUACAUGGCCAUAAGCCCCCUGCAAGUUGGAGGGUGGGGGCUGGUUCGCAGGGCCGAGCCAGGUCCCGCUGCGCGCGUCGGCGCGUGCUUCCGACCCACACGCGACACGCAACCCAGCCUUGACCUGCGCUGACCCUGUGGCCAACUGUUGCGGCGGGGUCCCGCGGUUCAGUCACUGGGUGCUCAGGCUGAAAGCAAAUCGCUCCUAAUCAGUAAGCAUGAGGGUUCUCUCCUCGGCAUGUGUAGCGCUGAGAUGCUGGCAAGAACGCUGCCAAACGCAUGCAUUGCAGUUGCACGGCUUGCCUUUAACCCUCACCAAACUUCUUGCCUUCAUAGUUACGUGUGCAUAUAACUCCCUGAUUAGAGGAGCGGCCCAGGCUGUUUCCUGCUGCUUCGCUCCAGGACUCGAGCGCGCCAACUGCAGAGCCCAACCUCGCGAGCCAGGCAUGUCGUGUCUAUGGCCGUAGCAACCUUUACUCCAUUAUUCAGCUUUGUGUAAACGCCUGUAGCUGACUAAACGGCUAUCUCCGUGCUCCACGCGUGCAGGCCAGCAUGCCAGCGGGUGAGCGGCCCAACGCGGGCCCUGGUGGCGAUGCGUCCGCGGCUAAGGCGGCAUCUCAAGGAGGGCAGCAGCAACAGCAGACCACGCCGGUCCUGAGCUGGAACGGGGAUACGCAAGUGGCCAUGUUCAUCACGGUCCUGCUGCUCCUUAACCUGAUGAAAUGGGUAGGUUAAACUGUUCUUGAGCAGCCUCUGGGUGCUCAUGUGCAGCGUGCAAUUGUGGCGACAAGUUUGCUGCCGGGCCGCUGCGUCGGCCCUUCCCAUGUCCGCCACCUUCCGCUCCUCCCCCGUCUGCCCCGCUUUACAGGCCAUGACCCCGCCAUGCACUUGCUGAGCAGCAAGCAGCUGGCCGCGGCUGAUGCCUCGGCCGCAGCGCUGGCUGGCUCCCUGCCUGCGCCCCGCGGCUGCGCAGGCGAGCCACAGCAGCAGCAGCAGCGCAGCAGCAGCAGCAGCCGCGUGGCUGUACGAUUGCAAACUGUACCAUAAUCUGCUGCGCGCAGACGACCGAAGCAGCUCUACUGUUUAUAUUAUUAUCUGUGCCUCCUGGCACCUGCUUGUGGCGGGUCCUAUUGUGGCGCUGCUGCGUGUCCGGUGCGGGGGGGAGGGGGGCCGCGCGUGUGCUGCCAGUCGGUUGCACGAUGCCUGAUAGGUCCGCUGCUAAGGUUACUUGGCGCAGGGCUGCUGGGGGGUUACAGCGGAUGGUUAAGAUGGGCGGCCCGCGUGGGGCGGGGCAGGUGUGCCGCAGCCGCGCCGUCACCAGCCACCACCCGCAGCACCUGCGCUGGAGUACCCACGAGAGUGCGGGAAGAAAUGUUGUCAGUACCCAUGGUGUGAUUCUAACCGUUAUAUUGUAUUGGGUGUUGGGUGCCACCGUGUGCUGUCCAUUGUGCUGGUGUUCGCUGGCAGCACAGCCAAGAGGCAGCGUUGACAGAAUGACUGAGAGAUGCAUCCGUCGCACCCAGCAGUGACCCUUGACAGAUUACGUUCGAUGUGCUUUCCUCCGACACCUCCUUGUUACCUUAACUUGUUGCACAAUGACAGCGUGAGAUGCAUGCUGGAAAUGCAGGGACCGCAAAGCAAUGUUGGACUGUUGCAGUAGCGUAGGAGCAGGUAGAUGCACUGGCAUCGUAGUGUGAGGGCUCCUUACAUCCGGGUAUCGGCAGGUCACAGUUCUGGGUGUUGCAGCUGCUAGUAUGUAAUGCUACCAGAAUCACGUGCCGACUCGUCCACUUUCCGUGGGGAGCUCAAGGACUGGCCGUGGACGGAGUGCGUUCGGCUGAGAGCAGUGUUUGCAGCACGACAGCAGCAGGGCGGGUCAGGGGUCAAGGGUGCCCACAAGUGGCCCUCCGUGUACUAGUGUGUACUCCAGUGGCGAGGUCAGGGUGUGUGAGGCCGGAGCCUGAGUGCCUGACGCACAGCAAUAUGGGCAUAACGGUUAGCCCGCCCAACAGCCACUCCCAGCCCUCAACAGGCCACAAAGCCAGCAGUCUUCAUGCACGUGACCAACAUUCACGCAUGGAGAUGUACUUGUGUUGUGCCAUGUAAAACGCACGCGGCGAGCCGUUUGCGGCGCCAAUUGCAACGCACAUUGCAAACCUGUACAAGGAAGGCGAGGCUGGGGCCCCAAGCUAGCCCAACGCACACAAGAACGCACACACGAAACACGCCCGGCACAAACCGCUUAACCUAUUUCCGUUUCUGGCCCGACGUUCCUUUAGCGGGUUACACCUUAACUCAACCUGCCUUAUACCCUGUCCCAUCGCACGUUGCUUCGUUUUGCACGGUGGCCAUGUCCGCAGUGAGCCCGGACUGUAGGUCCGCCCCGCUCCGCCCGGCACUUGCCAACGGCUCCUUACCCGUGCCCACGCUCACUCCACACUCCACAUUUUGACUCCCCGCGCCUCAUACACACCUUGCUCACACGGCGUCAGCAGCGCCCACGCAUGCCUCCGACAAAAUUGGGCUCCGCGCUCGCGGCUCUGCUGCGUACAGCAAUGGCCCUGCGGCGUGCCUGACGCCGACAGCCAAUCCGAAACUGCACGCGCACAUCUCAUUUGGCACUUGAGCAAGCACCAUGCGACCCCGCAUUCGUUCAACCAGUCUUCCAAAUUGCACGCCUCAUAUUCCUCACCCCGCGCUUGGUUCACCCCAGUCCCCCAAGGCAUCGCGUGCCGCCCUUGCGGCGCCCGCCCUUGCGGGCCCCAGACCUUCAACACUCGGCCCCCACAGCACCCGGGCCCGCCCAACAGCCCCUCUGCAGCGGCAGGCCACUCGGCCGCCGCGCGCACACGCUCAAGCACACCUAUCUAGCUUCGCGCUUCGCUUCCUAACACCCCUUAGGUAUUACAACUACGUACCCGGGAGCAACCCACGGCCGUGCAGUCACACCGCCGUGAUUUCAUAGCACGUCCGACACUCCAACGCGCCACUACACAAACAGCAAACAACACCAAGUCCCAGUCCAACUCCUCUAUAUAGCAUGUAAAAAGAAGACGGCCGCUUCCCGGCAUUAACAACUCACGAGGGAAAAGGAUUUAGUGCUCAUCCCCUCAGCGCCAAGCUGCGGGCCGCAACCCAGCUGCUACUGAGGACCUCUUCAGCUGCAGAUCUCACAGCAGCUCAGCUUUGCGGAUCUCUCCAGCAGCAACUCAGCUGUGGGUCUUGAUCUCCUCCUCGCCCAGCAGCAGCUCAGCUGUUGAUCUUGAUCUCCUCCUCGCCCAGCAGCACCAGGCGCCGGAAGUGGCCCAGCGCCCAGAUGGGGAAGAUGUUGCUGCGGCGGCAGGGAGGGGAGGGAGGGGGGUUACAUUCAUGAUUAGUUAAGAAGUGGGGAAGGGGGGAAGGGAUGAAGGAGGAAGAGGGGUAAGAGUGGGCGUUGCAGGUUCAGGACGGAGGGGGGUUUACAAUCAUGACUAGCGAUGGGGUGCGGGGCUGGGCCAGGAAGGAGGGGCGGAGGCUGCGGGCGAGGGUCAAAUGACGUGGUCCCAUGCCCAGGGGCUCAGGCGGCCGGUUGAGGCACGAAAGGACGCAGGUGGGCAAGUGCGAGGGAUGGACUGUGGGUCGGAGCUCCCACUUAGCUGCGCGAAGCAAAUUGGGCCGGGCUGGGCUGGGCUGGGCCACACGGGUGGGCCUGGACCCGGGAGCUGAGCGGAGGUGCCGCCAGCCUCCCCCCUUCAUUAGUAAUCAUGAAUGUAACCCCCCUCGCCGGAGGCCCCCCCCGCUUGUGCGGGCCUGCCUGCCUGCCUGCCUGCCCGCCUGCCUGCCUGCCUGCCUGCCUGCCCGCCUCACCGGUAGUUGGCGUAGGUGAUCAUGCAGUUGCGGUUGAACACGCCGCUGAUGUGCUGCUGCGGCCAGUCGCCGCUGGGCUGCUGCAUGCGCAUCAGGAACACGGCGCCGCGCCGCAGCGGCUCCGGGUCCACCUGGGGCGAGGGGGGCGGGUGUGUGGGGGGCCGCGUGUGUGUAUGUGUUGACGAGGCCCGCCAAGGCGCUUUGUGCAUGUGCGUGUGUGUUGAGAUUACGCCUCUGCGGUGGCCGCCCCAGCUCAGCCCAACCCCACCUGUACGUGCCCCAUGCCCACCACCCCUCCCACCUACCGUCCCACCACCGUGCCACUGUCGCGCACAUGUUCAUGGCAGCGCUGUUCAUGUGUUGACGCUGCCGCCCGUGCCCCUAACACACAUGCCCUGAACCCCCACCCACCCACCCACACCCAACCACACAUCGACACACAAACACAAACACACUCGCCCCCUCCCCCUCACCUUGUGGUAUCCCACCGCCAUGAGCGCCAACAUGGCCCAGGCCGUGUUCACCACGUGGCUGUCCCCCUCCAGGUGGCUGUACACCUGGGGGGGUGUGAGAGUGUGUGUGUGUAUGGUUGUUCAAGGCACACGGAAAAACAAGCGCUCAGACUGAAUAUGCGAUGCAGCCACGGCAAACGAAACGAGUGACCCUGUGCACUUGAUAGUCUGUCGUGUGACCACCGCCCAUCCUAUGCCCUCCUCCCCCUCCUCCCUCCUCCCUCCCUCCUCCUCCCCCUCCUCCUCCCUCCCUCCUCCCCCUCCCGCCCCACCUUGUCCUGGCAGCUGAGGUAGCUCUCGCCCCAGCCGCCGUCCGCCCGCUGCUUGUCCGCCAGGAAGGCCGCGCACCGCCGCAGCGCCUCGUCGUUGGCGUACGUGUGCCCCAGCGCCGCCAGCCCAGUGGCGCCGAACCAGCAAGCGUAGGUGAAGCACACGCCCCAGGAGCCGUACCUGCGCAGGAGGAGGGAGGAGGCGGGGGAGGGGGGGAGAGGGGAGAGGGAGGGGUUGUUGAUACCAGCCCGAACUAAACCGAACCGCGCCAAAGUAGCGGAGCGCAGGCAGAGGCGGCAGUUGCGAGGGGGAGGGGAGGGAGGGGUUGUGUAUACCAGCCCAAGCUGGAACAAGGGAAUUCAGCGAAGCACAGGCGCAGGCACAGCACGGGGGGGUGGAGGUAAGGGAGUGUUGGUUGAAGACCAUUCACAGUACUGUGGGAAACCGGAGGCACGGGAAAUGCAGGACAAGACAAGACAGGCUAAACCCGUGGGUGUAGAGGUGUUGACGAAGAGUAGAACCCGGGAUAGCCGCCCUUGCACUCAUUCUGUUUGUUCCCUUCGACGCGGUCUCUCCAAACCUACCAGGAGCCGUCCUUGCGCUGGAUGGAGCGGAUGAAGGCCUCGGCCCGCUUGAGGGAGGCGGCGAUCUCCGCGGCCCGGUGGCCGGGGUGCUGCCUGUGUGUGUGUGCGUGUGGGGGGGGUGCGUGUGUAGGAGUGCGGGUGAGCAGGUGACGGAGCAGGCGCAGGUUGGGACAGGGUGGGAUCAGGACCCAGGACUCCGGCCCCAACACAUUCUACCAUGGACACACAUGCGCAACAUGCACACGUACGCACACACGUACACAGUCACACACUCGCACACACAGUCACACACAGUCACACAAUUCCGCACCCCUUCCCACACGCUCACUGCCCCCCACCCACCCCAUCCCCCGUUCUCUCACUUCCUGAAGCUGCACAGCGCGGUGAUGCAGGCGCUGGUGCACUCGACGUAGCUGUAGUCCACGAUGAUGUCGCCAAACGUCUCGGCGGGGUUCAGGAUCUGGGGGGGAGGAAGGGAUGGGGGGUGGUUGGGGGAGGGUUGCGGGUUGGGGGCGUGGAGGGGCCCCGGCAGGGGGCGGGGAUGGUUGGGGAGUUACAGCUAAGGUAAGGGGGGGCGGGCGGCUGGGGGAGUAGAACACCGCCCCACCGACACCCACAACCACACCCACACACGCACACGCACACGCACACCCCCCCCCCACACCCACACACACCCACACACAGACACGCCUAUGCUUUGCUGCAUCGCAUACACUGUCUUUGCGCUAUGUGUUCCACGUGCGCUAUGCUUUCCAUGUGCUAUUUAAACACCAACCUCUCCCCCCCCCCACCGCCCGCCCCGCCCCGCCCCGCCCCCACCUCCAGCCAGUGGAAGCUGCGCGUGUUCUCGUACGUGGCCAUGCCGCCGUCCCGGUUCUGGUAGCUCAGGAUGACGUUGACGCAGUCGUACAGCCGCUCGGGCGAGAUGGCGGGGCCCACCUGCGGGGGUUGGCGCGUGUGUGUAUUGUAGGUGUGGGUGUGCGAUGGGACAGUGGUAAGGCAGGUUGGUAAAGUCCCGUAGGUUGGGAGGUGAAGCACCCACCGCAUCCACCGGCCAGCCAGCCACCGCUCUACCCGCACGUGGCUUCCGGGGAAGUCAUCAGGGUUAACUUGAACAAUCUCUUACGCCCAAGAUCUUUAAUGACAUUACGCUCAACCCGCCCCCCCCCUCCCAGCCACCCCCACCCGCCCAUGCCGCCCCUCCCGCCACCAGCUCCUCCGGCAACAGCGCCAGUGUGAGCGCCGCCUUCAGUCCCUCGCACACAUAUGCACACACACACAACCAACCCGCUCCCCACAUUCCCUCCCACCCCCGCCCCCAAUCUCCCCCCUUUCUUCCCACCAGCUCCUCUGGCAGCAGCGCAAGCGUGAGCGCCGCCUUCAGUCCCUCGCUGGAGCAGUCGGAGAUGGGCCAGCCGUGGUCGCGCGAUGAGAAGGGCCAGGCGCCCUUGCUGAUGUGGCGGUAGUAGGCGGACAGCGGCGCCGCGGCCUCCUCAAUCACCUGUGCGCGGAGGGAGGGAGGGAGGGUGAGGGCGGAGGUGAGGGUGGAAGUGUGGGUGGAGGUGUGGGUGGAGGUGUGGGUGGAAGUGACCUCCACUAACAAAUACACUUUAACACUUCUCUACACACGCACACACAACCCACGUAGCAAGGAAGUGACUCCGGCGCCGUUUUGUUAUUGUAUCCUAACACACACCCUCCGCCGCCCCCCCUUCCGCACCUGGCUCUGCUCCACGUACUCGUGCGCCUUGCGCAGGCAGUGGCCCGACACCUGCAGCAGCCCGGCCUCGGCGAUGGCCUGCGCUCGUGCGAGUGAUAUUAUUGGAGGGAUCACAUUCAUAAGUAGUUAAGGAAAUGGUAGACGGUAGACCAUCUUGCGGAACAUGAAGCGUUCGGGGGGGGGCGGGUUGGGAUGGGAGAGAAAUGGGUUGCGUCUUGGCGUGUAGCACCAGCAAUCAAUACUGGAGCGGUGGGCUGCAACCCACAACAACUUGAGCCGGCCGCGAAGCAGCCCUUCCACGAAAAGCUACCUCCCUCUCACUCGGGAUUGGGAAAGCUACAACCCCCGCCCCAGUGCCCUCACUCCCUCACCCACCACCCAGCCUCCCCCUCCCCCUCCCCCUCCCCCUCCCCNNNNNNNNNNNNNNNNNNNNNNNNNNNNNNNNNNNNNNNNNNNNNNNNNNNNNNNNNNNNNNNNNNNNNNNNNNNNNNNNNNNNNNNNNNNNNNNNNNNNCCUCCCCCCCUCCCCCACCCUCCCCCCCUCCCUCCUGCCCGCACCUGCACUGCGAAGCUGGUGUCCCACAGUUGGCUGCCGUUGUAGCCCUGCAUCUUCAGCCCGUCCUCCGCCACCCACAGGUAGUCGUGCACACGGGGCAGGUGCCUGGCGGGUGGGUGGUGGGUGGUGGGGUUGGGGGGUGGGGGUGGGGGUGGGGGUGGAGGUUCGGAGAACUUUGACAUGAAGUGGUAGAGCGUGAGCAGCACUUGCAACGAUUGGAGGAGCGGGAGUGGGAGGGUGUGAGUUGGGAGGAGGAAGGGGAGUCGGAGUGCGGAGGAGGAAGGUGAAUGUGGUCAAUGGGGAAUGGGUGGUGUGUGCAGCGUGCGUGCCAGUGUGUGUCUCCUCCUCCUUCCUCCACCCCCCCUGCCCCCCCUCACUUCUGGAAGGCCUUGCCGCCGGGCUCCUCCAGCCAGCAGGCCAGCAUGUUGAUCACCUUGUUGACAGGCCCGAUGUCCACAUAGCGCGUGUUCUCGUCCUGCAGGCGGGUGCGUGCGUGCGUGUGCAUUUGUAUGUGUUAAAGAGCACAAGGAAAACAUUGCGCAAAGACAGUGUAUGCGAUGCAGCAAAGCGAUUUGUAUUGUGUGCGUGUGUUUGUACUUUCUAAAACAACGCGUGUGCGCGUGUGUUGUAGAGAGCAUAAGGGCUUAAAUUACGCCCGUCAUUGUCAUGGGUAGGUGUCGAAAACCACCACAGGGGGACAGUCAACCCCUCCUCCUCCCCCUCCACCUCCCCCCUCCUCCUCCCCCCACCCCCCUACCUCGUAGUGUAUGUGCUUCAUGCACUCGGCCAGCGCCGCCCGCCGCAGCCAACUGCCCUGCAGCACGUUCUCAGCCUUGUACAGCGCCCACCACAGGAUGUCCUGUCCGGGGUUGGGGUGUCACGGGUGGUGUAGGGGGUUACAUUCAUGCAUUAUAUAGGAUUAUAUAGAUGGGAAAAUAUGGCAAGGGAUCCUCAUUCGUCCACGGAGCACGUUGAGAUCUUCCUACACACGCACACACACACACACACACACACACACACGCACACGCACCUGCACCAGGGGGUGGGGGUAGUACAGGUCCUCCUUGGCGCACUGGUUGCGGGCGGCGUUCCAGUCGACCCGGCCGUACGGCAUGGGGUACAGCUCCUGCCUGCGGCGGCGUGGCAGGCCCACGGGGACAGAGGGCGGGUGUACCAGUGGCGGUGGGUUACAUUCAUGAUUAGUUAAGGAAGUGGUAGACGGUAGUAGGUGGGAGGGGAAAGGGAGCGCCGAGCCCAUGCGUGGGGGUCCUGUACAUGGAUGCGCGUGUAUAUCUACGUGCACUGUGCAUGGCACGCGCGCCGACCCCCACCGCCCCCCACUCCCAUCCCCAUCCCUCCCCACACACACGCACGCCCUCCCCACCUGAUGGCGGCGGUGAGCGGCGUCUCCUGGCACGUGCCGCGCUUGCCGUACACGUAGCUCAUGGGCAGGUACACCUGAGGAGCGGGGGAGGGGGGAGAAGCGGGUCGGGGGAGCGGGGGUUGGUGCCGGGGUUUGUGGGGCGUGUGUGAGCCGCCUGGUGGGUGAUCCGCACCACCCCUAGAGCUCAGGCCACUCGCCGCGAACCCGCCUCUUGCGCGCGCGCCCAGCCCCACGCCCAGCCCUUGACCCUGAGCCUAUCUUGAACCCCAACCCAGCAUCGCCACCAGCGCACAAACACACACACACACACACACACACGCAGCGCCACGCUUUGCUGCACCGCAUACACUGUCUUUGCGCAAUGUUUUCCUUGAGCUCUUUAACACAGCGCCACAGCCACACACGCACCAUGCGGCAGUGGCACCAGAAGCGGCCCGGGUGCAGCAUGCCGAUGCCCGUCCACUUGCUGGGGGGACAGGGCGGGGGAAGGGCAGGGGCGGGGGCACGGGGAAGGGGAGGGCAGGGAGGGCCGUCGGUGUGGUGCGGCCAGUGCCGGUGGCGCCAGGGGUCAGCUCGAAGGCAUGGCGGGUGGCGGGUUGGCGGGGUGGCACCGUGCCAGCAGCGGCGGCGGUUCUGGGGCGUGCCGCGGGGCCCCCUGCCGCGGGGUCCCCUGCCGCCACCCCCUGCCGCCGGUCGGUGCACCGCAGCUCCUGCCCCCGCCCAGGCACUGCCGCACCGCCACACCCCGCGCCGCCGCCAUCCUGGCAAGUCACUGCGCCGGGCCGUGAACCCUACCCGCCUCCCCCGAAGCCCACCCCCCGCAGCCCUCAGCCCCCCAAGGACUGAUGAUGGGUAGCCACCUCCACCCUCCCGCCCUCCUCGCCCUAUUGCAUUGGGUUCGGUUUAGCCCUGGUUAGGCUGGUAUCUACACCCCUCCUUCCUUCCUUCCCUCCCUCCCGCCUCCUCCCUUCCUCCUCCCCCUCCUCACUUGUGUGGCAGCAGCCACAUCUCGGGCGUGAGCGGGUUCAUGCCGUCCCAGCUGUACACGCCCAGCACCGCCAGCCAGAACUUGCCCCAGCUGGUUAUGUAGGUGGCACCGCCGCGGGCGUGCAUCUGGGGGCGGGAGAGGGGAAGGGGUUACAUACAUUCAUGAUUAAUUAAGAAGUGAAGGGGGAGGGGGAGGCAAUUCCAAACCCCAAAUGAAACCGAAGGGGCAUUGCGAGGUUUGGCGGGGGAGGAGAGGGGUUCCAGGCUUGACUAGUGAGAUGAAGACGGUGUUGGGGCAGCGCCGUGUUGCAGACGGGUCAAAAAUGUCCUUGUUGGGAAUGGCGCCGUUGGGAGUGUUGGUUGGGGACUGCAUUUGACUCUCCCCGCGCUUCCCAUCCUCCCCCACCUGCCGUCUAACGAGCGACCGGUAUGCCUAGAAGGCUGGAACCCUGUCCCCCUCUCUCCUCUCCCUCCCCCGAUUCCUUGACUAUGUGGACCAAUUUCGUUGGGCUCGGGCAAUUACCCCCCUCUCCGCCCUUUCCCCCUCCCCCUCCCCCGCUACCCCCUCCCCCGCUACCCCCUCCCCCGCUACCCCCUCCCCCGCUACCCCCUCCCCCGCUACCCCCUCCCCCUCCCCCCCAACCCCGCUACCCCCCACCCCACCCCACUCACCCACUCCCGCGCCUUGACGCACAGCGGCUCCUCCGCCGCCAGCCCCAGCAGCCGGGCCAUCACGUAGCUGAGGGUGGGGGUGCGGGUGGGAGGCGUGCACGGGGGGGGGCCGGUUGCUAGGAUGUUUAGAAAAGCAGUACAGGAUGCACUGGGGGGAGGUUACAUUCACGAUUAGCUAAGGAAGUGGUAGACGGUAGGGGAGGAGUCAAGGACCACCCUGCACCACCCUCCCUCUCCUGCCUACCCGGCAUUUCUCCCCCUCCCUUUCCCGCCACAGCUCCGGUUCUCGGUCUCGGAGCUGGGCAUCGACUACCCGCCCUGCUCCCCGCUUCCCCCACCGCACCCCUCAUGGUGUGGUGCGAGCAGCACCAGGCCCCUCCUCCCUUCUCUCCCCUUGCAUGGACGGCUGACUCCCCCCCUUAGGUUGAUCUGGGAUUGGGACAAGCUGCCCCUCAACCCCUCGGCCCUUCCCUCCUCGGUCCUCCCCCUGGUCUCCCCUCCUCUCCCCCAGUGUGACUCCGUUGUCAAGGCAUAGGCCACGCUCUCCUCCUCGCCCUUUUGCAUUGGGUUCGGUUUAGUUUGGGCUGGGAUCUACACACACACACACACACACACACGUCCUCCCUCCGCCUCCUUGCCUCCCCUCCUCUCUCCCCCUCCUCCCCCCCUCCCUUCUUAACUAAUCAUGAGUGUAACCCCCUUGCUGCUCACUUGAGGCCGGUGCCGAACAUGGUGCUGCCACCCUCAAUGUGCAGACCGAAGCCGCCGUCCUCGUUCUGGUGGUUGUGCAGGUAGCGCAGGGCCUCCUUCUUGUGAGCGGGGCUGAAGAUCUGGGGAACAGGCAGGAGGGAGGGGUUGCAAUCAUGAUUAAUGAGGAAGAAGCGACUUUGGAGCCGGGCACAUAAGUACAGCAGGCGCGUCGUUACGGGGGGGUGACAUUCAUGAUUAUUCAGGCAGUGGGAGGGAGGGGGGAGGGGGGAGAGGGAAGGACGGGGCAUGGCUGGGUUGGAGACGGCGGCGUGGAAAUGGUGCAGCUUUCCACGGAGAGGGGGGUUGUAGAUACCAGCCCAAACCAAAGUGAACCCAAUGCAACCGAGCGAGGAGGAGAGCGUGGGGGGAGGAGGGACGGUGACGGGUGGGGAAGGGGGAAGCUGCCCAUGCAGAAAUCCCCUCAAGUUCGGGGGCCUGCGGUGGUGUGGGCGAGGCGAGGUCGUGUAUGUGCGCGUAUGCAUAUGCGUGUGUGUAGGCGCCUGGGCGCGCCGCCAGCCCGCGGCACGGACACGCGUGUCAUGUCUGCCCGCCCUUCCGGGCUGGCCCCCGCACCUGUGCCCCGGCCCCUCCGAACCGCCCAGCCAAAAGGACUGGCCCUGAUGCAGACACCCUCACGUGCGACUUGCGCAUCACCACAGCCUGGCAAAACACCACACGCGACACGCCCUACCCACCGCGACACGCCCAGCCCACAGCCUGGCCCGACACAACACGCGACACGCGACACGCCCUGUCCUGCAUGCCGUGUCCUGCAUGCCGCAUUCCGCGCAGCCCCAGCCCCCAUGUCCGGUGUCGUUGUCCUCCCCCAGAGCCUCGCACCUCCUCACCUGCCCCGUUCCCACACACGCCUCGUCCCGGCCUAUGGCAUGCAGAUCGCGGCCCUUUCACGAGCCCUUGCUGCGUUUCAUGCCCAUGUGUGGCGCCCCCCUGCAAUGCCCGCACCCCCCUCCCCCCACACGCACACACGCGCACAGCACGUAACCAUGCCCCCCUCCCCGUCCCCCCUUCUGCCCUUGACUCACCCCUCCACACACGCACCUGGUCUAGCGCACCGCAGGUGUAGAGCGUGAUGACCAGGCCAGGCAGCAGAAACAUCGGGCCACCGUAAUCACCCGGAAAGUGGCCGUCCUCCUGCUGCAGGCACUCAUAGAAGCUGAUCGCACCCUUUAGAUGCUCCUCCACGCGCUCAGCGUCGGGCGCGUCAGGCACCGGGCCGGAUGGCGGGGAAUGCUUCUUGGCGCGAAUGCGGUCCGCGGACUGCAGGCGCAGCAGCUCAUCGCCCGAGUGGUGGUGUUUAUCUUUAUUGGCUGUGAACUCUUCGCGCAGACGCUCCGCCUCAGCGCGCUGCUCAGGGGUGCCUGCCGCUGGGUCAUACUCCCAAGUCUGGCGUCCUUUGUUCCCAUUCAGCGAGCGCAGCAGCGGACCGCCAGUUGUGCCGGCAGAAAUGAAUUUCCACAUGGCAGUCCACUAUUUAAGAAGCACUAGACGAAUGCGUUACAAGCCCCCGCGCUUCCUGGGCGCGCUGGUCGCCUCAAGCUCUGUAAGGAGUCAAUAUGGUAUCUCUUCGCGGUUUAGCCUUGGCAGGCCUGGGCGUGCGUAAGAGCACUUCGCUGGCAAAGAGGAGAAGUUGAUGGAACCCAGCUGGUCAGGUCUUAGCUCCCUAUCGCGCAGCAAAUGUAUUUCUAUGGCACCGUGGCGUGCACCAAUGUGUGUAAAAGUGAAGUGCAAGCUCCGCUGGGCGCGCGGGGAUCGCAGGGGUCGCGACCGGCAUGCGCGGGCAACCGUACCGGUACCGUGUGGGUAUGGGCGGCGUGUCCGGCCGUGUCAGGUCGCCGGGUGCAAUCGCUGCCGAAGGUGCCUUACUUUAGUAGCAAAUGUACUCCUUUGAUAAUCAACAUAGAAGCAUGCGCUAGGAGGGUGAGAACCUUGGGGAUGGCGAGUGAUGGUUGCAACCCGAGUGGUGGGUCAGCAACGGGGAGUCCCGGGUCUGCUGGCUACGUGGGCGGGGGGUGGCGGGGGCUGCGGCGUGCCUGUGGCCAGGUCGUCCCAGGUCCGCUGGAUGGCCCGGCCGGGUCUACUGGACUGGGCGAAUGGCCCGGCCGGGCGGCAUCAGGCAUGCUAGGCGGCCGGGCCGGGUCGGCAGGAUGGUUGCAGCAGCGUCUACACAAGCAACAGCAUUAACAUUACCCCAUGUAUGAGGAGUUACCUCGAUAUACAAGGAAGCACUUGGAUCAAAAGCCUAUCCGGUUCGGCUUCGGUCUGCUAGCGUGUCGACUGGCGCGCCCCAGCAUGUCCGUAGGCUCUUGAAUAGGCAGGCCUUCCCCUGCCUUGCAGCAUGCGCUUCUUUCCUAUUCUUUCUGCUAUCUUUUACACACCUUUACUAUCAGUCAAGACGCGUGAUGUGCGCACGGGUCGGGUCGCUGCGGUUGGAUGUCUGUGCUGGGGUUGCGGGUUCGGUCGCAAGGGUGCGGACUGCCUGGGGUCUGGGCGAGCAAUUCGGCAUGACUGGCCUGCUCUGCAGCCGGGGGGCAUGCCCUGCGAGGUCUGCCACAGUGCCACACUCACACGUGGGGUCGUACCGUAUACCCCGCCCGGUCGCUGCUUGUUCGCCUCGCAAUGACGCCCGGCUCACUCGAGACGUCUGGGCACUGAUGACAGCAGCAGGGGGGGGGGUAGGAAACAAAGUGCCAGACCCCAUGCCCCGAAAUCCCCCGGGCCCCCCCUUGAGGGGACGACCGACCCCCCGACGGACAAAACCUUGUUGUUCAGGGGUUAAAACCCCUCCAUUUUAUACCGAGCACGAGCGGUCCUGUUUUGAGACUUCGGUCACAGGCGGAAUCCUAUCCAUGGAAAUCCCCUCGACCCAGACCACCCCGCGCUCAACUCUCUGCCGCGUGACGGUUACACAGUGUGCAUCGGCAGCCUUGUUAGACGUGAACUCAUGCGCACCAGCGCUUCAGAGCCCAGCUGUGUCAGUGCGCAUGUGUUGAAUGUGGAGACAUGUCCAGACAUGUCCACGCCUGGACGCGCAACUUAGCCCUCCCACGCUUUGUUUGCGCUUAGUACGUCAUAACAUGCACAUAUGAGCCUCAUACUGCUGCGUUUGACCCCUAGUUCUGCUUGUGGGGCGCUUCCCGAAAUCCGCCAGGAUGGGCUCCCGAAACCCGACGGAGCCCCAACUUUUUGAGAAUGGAUCCCCCUUGUACCCAGGACGAGGACCGACCCCCCAACUUUGGCGGCCCAGAACUUCCUCACCAGACACCCCCUCAGAAAACAAGGGGUGUCAGCUUUGUACAGCUGGAAAAUGGGCUGAGCCCCUAGAGCAAGGGAUGUGACGAUGGGUACCGGCGAUAUACUGCGACAUAAACAGCACCCUUGCAAGCCCAGCGGGACUGGCAAAGGGGCAUACCAAAGGCACCGCCACGCCCUGUCCACGCCACUCCACACAUGAGCCCGUGAUACCUCAUUCCAAAUCCCUCACAAGCACCACAAACGGCUAGUGGGGCUCGGGCGCGUGAUCCGGGGCCGCGACAUAAUUAAGGCGGGAUCGGCACGCAUGGUUCGGCUGUUGCACAAACUUUCGACAUUCUUGCCCCAAGACGCUUGUCGUCGACAUGUUUUGAUACAUGGAUGUAAGAUAUUCAGGGCCCGAGAGCUAUACGGUACUCGCGGACUGAAGAAAGUCAAGAUGUCCAUGGACUCGCGAGGUCGCUUCUCGCUCCGGCAGGCAGGCAGGCAGGCACGGACAGGGGCAAUCCUGGGGGGCUUCGCCCCCCCUGGAUCGCUUCGCUCAGGGGGCUCAGCCCAACUAGAAGUACGUGCAUAAUGCUCCCCUAAAGCUCUGUAAUUUUGAGCAUGGGGUAAGAACCAGAGCUUUCUCCCCCCCCCCUGACAGCAGCGUGGGAAAGCCAUGCAACAAAGCGAGCCUCGGGUGGGACCAAAAGUCCAAAACCUCCUACCGCACCGUACUCACUCACAUUGUCUCACAUCAACCAACACGAGCCCCAGGCGCUGGCCGGUACCGCAGCAGGCAGCUUGGCGCAAACUCGUGCACAAUCGAGCGCCAGAACUGAUCAUCACGGCUGUGACCCUGUUGCCUGGUGUUGCUCAGUUCAUCAGGGGAAGGCGUGCACGCGAGGUGCGGGGCCGGGCGAGGUGCAGGGGUGCGGGGGUGCGGGGCACCCGCGGCGAGGUGUGUUGUCUGUCCACCUGUCCCAGCAACACGUCAGAGGCCACCGCACCAGCCACCAGAACAAAGGGCACCCCUCCGGGCACCCAAGAAAGCACGCGAAGCAACAACAAACUCACAGAACAGAGCAAGAAACAGACGAACCCAGCACCCAAACCCAACCCACCGCAAGUGCGCGCACAACAGAACGCAGGCACACCCGCACCCACACGCUAUAGAACGGGCCCUUGGACCCCAUACGGUACAGGCCAGGGCACACAGACAGCUGCCAACCGACCGCCACGCACGCCCACGCACAGAAACGAGCGGCCGCGCUCACUGGCCCAGCAACAAAGCUCAGACCAGAAGUUGCUCGGGAACCACCGCGGGCGCAAGACCAAACGCAGGGACACACACCACCACCACGUCGCAGACCGUGUCAUGUGCCCCACUCAGCCGGGGGCACCCAGACAGCGGUUUUCCGCCCACCCCGCGCGCCCACCUAUCCAAGCCAAGCAGCCGCGCGCAGUGACCCAGCAGACCAGGUGCCGCACAGGAACCACCGCAGGUGAACGACCCGCCCCAAACCACUAAAAGGGCCGCUCACAGAGCGCCCGAAAGAACUCCGCUUCCGUGCGCGUCGCGCCCUGUAGCGCCCUCCAACAGCUGCGGCGCCAGGCCCCGCGGGCACACAAGAGGUCCACAGUCCGCCACGCAGUCCCGCUCCCAGGUGCAGACCUCACCGCGGAGGGACCUCAGAACCAGCAGUGCAGCAGCAGAAGGCUGGGAGCGCAGUCCCCCCCUGCAAUUUGGUGUGCGGUGCCGGUCUGGCAAGGUUGUCACGUGCCAGUUGACCCAAUUGUUACGCGUGCGUGUCAGCGGGUGUCAGAAGGCCGUCAAGCUACAGGUUGCAGUGCUCGUAUCUUCCAUCUACACUGUAGAAAUCUGCCCAAAAUCCGCCGAAGGCGGAGAAAAAUUUUUGGGUUUGGGUGCCACGCAUCUACGCAGUGUAGACAGUUUUGGCCGGUUUUGGCGCAAAAAUGGGGGAAGCGUAGACGUUUUGGGGGGCUUGGGGGCUUAAGUGUAGAUGCCGCGGUCAGGGUCAUCUACGCAUGUGUAGAUGCCGGGUGCCUGAGGGCAUCUACAAGAUACGAGCACUGACAGGUUGCUGCCGCUUUGCUACCUGCAGGCUAGCUUGGGACACACAACCCAGCCGCUACACAACCUGGGUGGGGCGAGGCCCCGCAAGCAGCGGCUUUGUAUUAUUUUGGGGCAGUGCACGCUUGAAUGCACGUGCACGGCGGAAGUGAGUAAGCACCCGGUGACUCGGUAAGCCCCUUGUCCCGCGUUCUGGCCGUCUGGCGCCCUACUGUAGUGCCCCACACACGGAACGCCCGUCCCCUGCCAUCCGUCCGCGCAUGUCCUUCCCUAAUGACAGAUAGGCCUUCGGGCGCCCAGCCGUGAGUAAGAGACAAGAUUGUGGUUUCCCUCGCAUGGGAAAAGUGGGCUGCGCCCACGCCACGUCUCUAGUCUGAGGCCGCAAGCGUCUACCUCACCUCCCGGGUCAUAGUCGGGGUCGGUUAGGGUCGGUUCGUGCAGGCACAGCCCGCCAUGCGUCCAGCCACAGUCCGCUGCCAAGCAGCCAGCAAUACACAGGAAACCCCCUAGCCACAGCACUCCUCACUGCUGCGGCCUAUGCUCGCCAGCAAAGACCGCUAACCAGACUGAACCAGAACAGGUCCUCUGCGAAGACGAAAAGCCACAUUGGGCCCCUGAGAAACCGAAACGUCGCUGAUCGGCGAGCAGCCGACGGAGUUAGCAUGCACUGGAGUUGCGUAAGAUGUCGUGGCGAACAAAUAUAUCUUUGCCGGCUUUGAACGGCGCCCCGUGACCGGGAAAGUAUCGGCAAAGGGUCCCACCAGGCAGAGCAUAUUGUUGCUAGACAUGCCCAGCGGUUUUGUCAUGAUAUCGCAUAUCGUAAGAGCAGGGCCAAGUUUGCAAGCGACACCACGAGCAAAAAGCGGCGGCGACCAGCGAACUAGGGUUUAUAUUUUGGGCUUUGCAAUCGACACGGUCAACCAUGAAGCAUACGCUCGUGCCUAUGGGGGCUGCGCGUGCGCUCAAUUAGCAGUCGAACACGGAUAUCCCUCCUGUUCGCCGCUUAUGCGCCUCGUAGUGACGCCCGGCUCACAUUAUAAUUCCUGGGCAACGAUAAAAGCAGAUUAAUAAGUCCAAGCAACAAAUCGAGCAAAACCAAGCUGGUCCGUACACGCACAUGAAGUUACCACAUGGCUUGACAUUCGGUUGGCAGCAGACAGAACUCAACUCAAGAAAACCUGCAUUUUACACGCUAGAUUGGCACGGCCCACAAGAGGAGCCUGGCGAAACCUCCGAGACGUCUCCAAGCUACGUCCAAUCGGCGUGCGCUUCGUUCUCAAAGCAGGUAAGGCUCGCACAUGUUGCCUCAGACUGCAUGUAAAUGCUCCGAAGACCGGGCUGCCAUAAGUGGGGCGGCCACUGUUGUUGCGUUGAGAAGAACCCUGGCCGCCGAGUUUCAGCGUCCUCGGCGAAUGCGUCACGGACAGCGAUCUGGGGCGCCGAGGCUCGAUUGACACUGCAUUUGUGCAAUUUUGACCGCGUUCACGUGUCCUGCCCGCGCAGAACCGAACCAUGGCGUCCCUCGAAUUUUGGCCGGGGCCGUCGGGGCAAGACGGAUGCCACAUGUGCUCGGACGUGGAGAUGCAGGAUUACUUAUUCCAGCACGAACAAGACGGCAUGCUCGGCUUCGACCUGCCGCAUGUCGACGACGACAUUGGAAACGCGGACCCACUGCUGCUUGCGCCGAGUGGCGCCGGUUGCGGCCAGACGCCCGGCGCUGUCUACAACGUGUUGACACAGCUGCAGGCUGCGCCGCUGGGCUCGCUGGCCAUCGUAAAGCAGGAGCCGUCGGAAUCCUCACAUGGAAGCGCCGCGGGCUCGCCCAGCAACGACGGCCCGCUGUCCUCCAGCACGCCGCACCACCCCGCCCACCCCUCCAGCGCCUCGCUCUCCCCCUUCCACCCACAAGCACAGCACCACCACCACCACAGUCGCAACAACACGCUGCUGGGCAGCUGCGCUGCUGCGGGCGCCGGCUUCGGCUCCGGCAGCUAUGACAGCUCCUGCAGCGGCCCGACACUCGCGGCGCCCGCCGAGGUCGGCAGCGCCUCCGUGACUUUCUCCGCAACCGCCGUGCCCGCCGCCGCCACGGCACUCGCGGCCGCCAGCUCCCUGUCACAACAGCAGCAGCAACAACUGCAGCAGCAGUUACUGGCGUCUGGCAUGCCGCUCGUGUCCUUCUCCGCCAUCCCGCUGCCCGCCGGCCAGGAGCAGGCCGCCACCUGUGCACAGCAGGCACACCUGGCGGCGGCUGCGGCACCAUACAUCUCCGCCGCCACCGCAUCCAUGACCUCCAUGCUCAACAUCCCCAACCUGCACACCUACGCGCUCAGCAGUAGUACCCCUGCUGGCGCCGCCGAGACCGCCGCUGGCGCCUGUGCGAACGGCGAGUCGGGCUCGGCGAGCGGUGCGGCCCCCGCGUUUGAGCCGCACAUGGCCGUGACGGCUGCCCCCGCCGGCACCGCCGCCGGAGCGCCUGCCGUCAUCAUUACGCCGGCGCCCGCAUCCGCGCCAACCGCAAGCCUUGUGACGGACGUGUUCGCCUCACCCUUUGCGCAUGCCGGCAUGACGGCGCCGUCGGCGGCGCCGCCGCCACCGUCGCUGCUCGACGCCGCCGUCGCGGUCCAACAGCAGCUCGCCGCCGCCGCGGCCGCCGCCGCCGCCGCCGCCGCUGGCGGCGCCGCCGCCAUGCUGGCGACCUCCACGCCCUCCGCCGACGCCGACAACUUCGCCUUUGCCUUCAGCGGCGAUGACGAUGAUGAAGACCCCUCCUACGGCGCCUCUGCCAGCCUCGGCGGCAAGCGCGGCAGCUCGGCGGCGCCAUCCAAGGCCGCCAGCGGCGGCGGCGGCGGCGGCGGCGGCAACUGCCGGAAGCUGCCGCUGUCGCACUCGACGGUUGAGAAGCACCGCCGCGACCGCAUCAACCACCUCAUUGAGCAGCUUGGGGAGCUGGUGCCGGCCUGUGACCCACGCUACCGAGGCGCAGCAGCCGACGGCGAGGCCGCAGGUGGCGGCGGCGGCCUGAAGCGGCCCAAGCACGCCAUCCUGGCGGAUGCGGUGAUCCGCUACCGGCAGCUGCAGCAGGACAACGAGACACUGCGCCGCCAGCUGGCGGCGACGGCAGCGGCGGCCGCCGCCGCCGCGUCGGGCUUCAAGAACAUGCUCCAACAGCAGCAGCAGCAACAACAGCAGCAGACGGCGAGCGGCGACGGAACGUCAGCGGUGGCUGUGGCUGCGCUAACGGUUCCGUCAACGCUGCCUGCCGCCACUGCCUUCGCUGAGGCCGCGCCCGUGGCGGCGUCCAGUACGGCCGCCGCCAUGGCCACCUCACACUCGGCCGCGCCGUCCCUGCCCUCUUCACCCACGACGCCCGCAGCGGCGUCCGUCGCUGCGCCCAGCGGCGCCGCCGGCGCCGCCACGUCAGCGACGAUGCAGUCUCUGCUCGUCCAAGCCGCCGCCGCCGCCGCGGCGGUGGGAGCCGCAGCGUCCGGUCGCAACGGCGCCGCUGCCGCGCCGGCUCCGCCGCCGCCUGCCGGCAGCGCCCUUGUUCCCGCGGCGGCCGCCUCCCCUGCCACCGCCGCUACUGCUGCUACGGCUGCUACGGCUGCUGCUUCUGCCGGCCUGAACCUGCUGCACCUUCCCUUCAUCAAGGCCGCCGCCGCCGCGGCCGUAGCCGCCGCCGCGUCCGCUUCAGCCGCUGCCCACGGCAGCGCGCCUGCCGCCGCUCCCGCCGCCGGGAUGCCGCAGCUGCCGGCUGGCUUCGUGCCCGUUGGCCUGAGCACACACGGCGCCGUCAGCAACAGCAGCAUCGCCGCCGCCGCCACCGCCACCGCCGCCGCCGCCGCCACCGCCGCCCCACGCUGCCAGCAGGUCUCGGCAACGGCACCACCUGGAGCCGAGCCCAAGGUCCCGCAGCUACAGCCACAGCCACCGCAACGGCUACAGCCGCAGGCGAAGGUGCAGGCACAGCCGCAGCACCAGACGGCGGGUCUGGUGAUGGUGCCGGUCUGGACCGGCGCCGCGCCGGGCGCCGUGCCGCCGCCGCCCGUCGCCAUCGCGCCCGCGCCGCCGCCCGGCUCAUCAUGCACCCCCUGGUCCAGCUGUAGCCACCUAGUGGCAGGCGCCGCCUCAGCAGUGGCGGCCGCUUCCACCGAGCCCUCCUCGUGCGGCUCGGUGGAAGAGGACGCAGCCGCCGCCGCCGCCGCUGCGGCCGAAGUGGAGGCGGAGGCGUCCACCGAGGUGCGUGUGGGCCCAAACAGCAGCGCCUCAGCCUCCGGCUCAGCCUCAGGCUCAGCCUCGGGCUGUGCGGCUGGUGCCAUGACGGCGGCGGCGGCGGCCGCCGCGGCCGCGCCUGCGUUGCCGGUGCUGCCCCAGCCGGCGGCCGCGCCCACCGCCGACGCUGCGGCUGCGGCGGCUGCGGCUGCGGUGGCGGCGGCGGCGGCGGCCGCGGCGGCGGCUGCUUCAGUCUCUGACGCCGCCGCCACCUCCGCCGCUGGCGCCUCCUCGUCUUCCUGGCUGGUGCGCAUCGUGUGCCCGCCCCGCCGGGACCUGGCGGCGGCAGCCACCCGCGCGCUGACCGCCGCUGGCAUUCGCCUGCGCGGCGUUAACGUCAGGUGCGCGCGCGUGUGUGUGUGUGUGUGUGUGUGUGUGUGUGUGUGUGUGUGUGUGUGUGUGUGUGUGUGUGUAUGCGUGUGUGUGCUCUGUGACUCCGAAUGCCCCGAUAUCUCGGCACCGCGUCGUGAUUACCGGCUGUGUGUAAUAGCUGCUCCGUGCAUACUCGCCCCCGCUGUCAUGUGGCUACCUGGCUGUUCCACUAGCUGCCUGACGCCUACCACCUGACGCCUGACACCCCGUGACACCUUGCGUGUAUCCACACCCACACACCCAUUCCCCAUCCGCCACACACACACAGCCCCGCGCCCGGCCCCGGCCACCGCAUGGCUCUGGAGCUGGAGGUGGAGUGCGGCGAGGACGUCAUGCCGCGGGGGCAGCAGGUGGGGCCGCGGAGCGUGUGUGUGUGUGUGUGUGUGUGUGUGUGUGUGUGUGUGUGUGUGUGUGUGCGUGUGUGUGUGUGUGUGUGUGCGUGUGUGUGUGUGCGUGCGUGCGUGCGUGCGUGUGUGCGUGUGUGUGUGUGUGUGUGUGUGUGUGUGUGUGUGUGUGUGUGCUCGCAUGCGGAGUGAGAAGGCUCAUGUGCCAAGGGGCUCCACAGAAUCACAAACUUAUCGCAACGCUCAUGCUCCAUUGAACCACAGGUCGGUGCCAUCCAAUGCGCCAUCCACGCCGCGCUGGCGGAGGCCGCUGACGUCGAGAACGUCGACAGUGGCGACACCACCGCGGCGGCGGCGGCGGCGGCGGCGCACAACGCGCUCAGAGGCGUCAGCGGCGGCGGCGGCGGUCCCAAGCGGCUGAUCCACCAGGCGCCGGCAGCGCCGCCGGGGGGUGGCGCUCGCAAGCGCUCCCGGACCCAUCGCUAGACGCUACGCGCCGCGCCGCUACGCGCCGCUUCGGCACCCUGCGCGAGAGGGGACGCGGCGGUCAAGGCAGGCUGUCAGCUCAUCGGCCAUGCCGGGCGCACGGCGGGAUGUGGGUGCAGCACCAGACACGCCGUGCCGCGGACCUGGCGUUGGGCAAGACAGGGUAUGUGCCAGUGCGGCACGGAAUCCACGUUUCCAGCAAUCUAAUGACGACAUGCAGUCCUGCGCACGAAGAGCACGAAGCAAAGAGCACGUAACAAGCUACUCGGCGCAGCGGGCUUGCCUCGCUGCUUUGCAGAUGCGGUGAGGGCGACUUUCAGUUUGAGGCAGGCGGUAGUAUCGACUUGGCGGCUGUGCUGAUCAUUUCAUCGGCGCGGAGGUGGAUGGGCCGGAGGGGCACCAGCGGGUCAGGGGGUCGCACGGCUAUGUGGUGCGUGGCAGGCGGUUGGGUGUGGCGGUUCUGGCAACCCGCAUCCUAAGGUCGCCCUUCUGUUUCUUGGUAGGUACAUGCUUGUUGUUGGGUAGCGGACGGCGGCACCUGCAGUCGGGCAGAUCCGGUUUGUCCGCGGUGCCCAGGACUGCGGAUUGCGGAGGGGUUUGUGGGCAGGAUAAUGGCUUGGGUAGCGGUAGUAACGGAGGCCUCCUUGGGGUGAUACGACCAGAACACACCGCGCAUGAGGCAACCGCAUGACAGGUCAUGACCGGUCAUCAAGCGUCUGGACUGCUUAGCCGCUAGACAUUGAGAGGUAUUGAAGACAUACAUUACGUGCACAGCACGAGCACAGAUAAUAAUAGCCCGGGCAAACACCUUACAUCGCCGCUCACAGCUGUCCGACGCGGAGUGUUCUCCUGUUGUGGCUGCGCGGCGAUGAGAUUCUUUGUGUGUCGUGCGAGGGAGCAUGUGCGUCCUGUCCUUGGAGCGUAUGCAUGUUGAUCCAAUCUAGGAACCGUCGGUACGAAUGGGCUUGUAUGCUGUGGAUUGGACGGCGGAUGUAUUGGGUCAACUGCUAAGGGGAGUGUUAGGACGCUGGUGUUAGGGCACCUGUGCGAGCGCAGAAUGUUUCUGCGCCUGCGGGUGCUGUGUACGGUAAACUGGUUAAUCGCGGGAACUUCGUUGGGCUCUAAAACGCCACACGAUCGUCGUAUUGGCGGGGCGUUCGGCCGUGGGUUGCUUGUCCGUACGCUUUUUGGCGUCUGGCUUUACAGCAUGAGUGGGAAUUCAAUCUUGCAUUUCAGCAUGAGCGGUAGGAUGGGAGCAAGCACUUGGUGUGCAAUAGCUGUAUGUGUGUGUGUUUCGCUUUGGUGCUGCUGUGGGUAGCGUUCUGUGCAGUGUAGGUGCGUGCCGCAUGCAGCCAAUCGAGGUGGUUGGGAGCGGUUGCGCGCGUGAGAUGAAGAAAGCGUGCAGAUACGAAAAGGCUAGAGACCUGCGUGCAUCAUUCCAGCGCCUGGCAUUUGCUGUGCGCGUGAGGACCAACUGCUGCGUGUUCCAGUUUCGCGCAUUAUUCGAGACGAGCAAGUGCUCUGAGCUGUGGACUUAGGGUGUGAAUGCGAUGGGCGCUAGGACGCAAGAUGGCAUGAGCGUAAUGUUGCGCAUGCGUGCUCAAAGCUAUUAAAGCUAAUCAGUGUUGGUGGCAAGCUUCGACUGGCUUCGGCUGCUGCUGCCUGCUUCCUAUCACGCUGAGUAUUGUCAAUCUGUCGCACUGCUGGCACGCCCUGAAGCGUGUCCUGCAGGCUCACGCGCUAAUCAAUUGCAGCGCUGAGCAAAGCAUAAUAACGAAAGCACGGUUUCUGGGGUUCCCUGCUUACUGCUGGUUGUAGUAGCCGCUGCCGCUGGUGCUGGUGUUGCUAGUCGUGUUGGUGGUGGCGGCGGCGGCCGCUCCAUAGCGCCACCGGCUGAUGGAGUUGAUGCCCUUCAGCACACUGUUCCCGCGGUAUCGUCCAGGGUUUCUUCACGUGAUGAGGCGCUGAUACCAGGAUCUCUAGAUCCCACGUGGGCGAGUGUCCCUGCGUACCUUGGCCGCAGAGGGCAUCGGCACGGUGUAGGGCGCAUGGGGACUGCGGGCCGUAUUGACGUGGCUACUGUUGGGCUGCAUUGCUGGCGCCUGUUGCUGUGAACCUGUGGUAAUAUGACAGGAACAUUUGCCGGGUUUUCAACUCACUAGAAGCGGCCUGGCAUUUCAAGGUCAGCUAGGAGUUUCCCGGGGGUUUCAGUCCCCCGCACGCGCGUGUGCUAGCGGGGCUUGUGUUUAAUGCAUUGCUGAUGCUGCUGGUUACUGGCGGUGAUGAGGGUGCUAAAUGCGUUGCAGAAGUGGAAGAUGUCAGGUGGAGUGGGCUAGUGCUGCAUCUGCGGCUGGAAGUGGAUGACCGGUUGUGAGGCGGCAAAUUCAUCAUGUGUGCCCGGCACGGUUGCCCGGCGCCUAUGCGUUAUUAGCGCGCCCGGCUCGUUUCGGGACGGGAGUCACGGGAGUUUACUAGGCGGUGCCUAGUAGGCGCGUGCGUAGGCCGGCUCGUUUGCCUAGUGUCCGUGACAUACAUGUAGCGGUCACUAGGGAGAGGGGGCCAUUUGUGUUUUUAGCCGUCCUGCGGGGCAAGUUGUAGCAGGCGUAUGCGGGGCAGUGGGGGCAGUGACGCCCACGUCGUUGCGGCGCUAAUCUGUAAUGAAUGGUAGCAUUUUGCCAUUAGCAAGGCUGGCAUAAGGGCAGUUUGGGGAGUGGUUGGUUCAAGCAUGGUUCAAGCAUACGUUGUUGGUCGUGUCGUUGUCAUCGCUGUAAUUUGUAACCAGACAGUUAACCCGUGGCGCUCAUUCCUGUGCCGUGAUCCCGCACUCCAUGACAGUCUCUUUCCAGCCAGCCAGCAAUUUAUACAGUAACUACAGUAACUCGGCGUUCGACCAGCCGCGCACUCCUGCCCUGCCGUUGCAAGUUGUUUGCUAUCUGCUGGGGUCUGGGAAUCAGCUGCACCCUGCGCGACUUCACCAACCUGCCUUAACACUGUCCCAUCGCACGCCCAUGACACCCAAGGCCUCCGCACAACGCCAGUCCUCUCGCUCUGGGAUUCCCGUCGUGUUCCACAAUACAGCAUUCUCGGUGUUAGCAGCCCCUGCCAUCGCUGCGACAACGGGAGACUCAACCAACGUGUUCAGAUGUAGCAAUGAAAGCCCGCGGCUCCACGUCUCGUGCGCGGCUGUGCCAGCCAGUUCCGCAAUACCUAACAGGUCCCCGCCACGGGUCAGCGACACACCACCCAUCCUGCAAACGCAUACGGUAGAUUAGCCUCGGCAGCGCGCACACAUGCCACAUCCCCAACCCCAGCCUCGGCCUCGACCAGUGCCCCACUCCUCACGCUGCCCCACUCCUCACGCGCCCUACUUAUCCUCCUUGUCUUUAUCCUUCUUCCCCCUCCCGCCCCCUCCCCCUCCGCCUGCUCCACCCCCUCCCCCUCCCGCCGGCGCCGCGCCGCCCGCCCCUACACGCUGCCAGCUGCCUGCCCCGCUGUGCGCGUCCACCACGAACUCCUCCUCCACGUCCGUGAUGCGCAUGCCCGCCGGCGCGAAGCCGCUCAGCAGCGCCAGCAGGUCGCGCUCCACCGCCGCCACCUCGCCCGGGUCCACCUGCGGCGGCGGUGAGGCGCGGGGGUGAGGCGCGGGGUUGAGGGCAAUGGGGUUGAGGGUAAGGGGGAGGAAGGGCAAAGGCCAGGUUGAGGGCGAAGGGUCCGGGUUGAGGGUAAGAAUGCGUUAACGGAGGGCAAGGGUUGAGGGUAAGGGAGGGCAAGGGAGGGUAAGGGAGGGAAACGGAGGGCGGUGAUGGGAGCACGGGGUUGUCGUGGGACGGUACUAGAGAGACAAGGGGGCAGAGGGUGUGUGGUAGGUAAGCCCAACGUGCGCUGGGCUGCGCUGCAAGAGGGCGAGAGUCAAGCCAGUCAAACUACUGGUGGGCCGGGCUGGACACCGCUACGGCUGCCCAAGCACUGUGUGAGGUCUCCCCCGCACUGCCCCUGUGGUGCGCCGCACCUUGGGCACCGGCUUGAAGUGCCGCUGCCGCGCGUUGCGCAUGGGCGGCGUGACGCCGUCUGCCGCCUCGGGGCCGUCGGGCAGGGAGGAGCCGGGCGGACCCACCAGCAGCACCUGCAGGCAGGCAGGCAGGCAGGCAGGCAGGCAGGCAGGCAGGGCAGGGGUGACUAAAUGGCUAAGCCCCGCACCCGUGUCGCAUUGUCAUCAGUCCCAUGGUGAGGGAGUGUUGAUGUUCACGCGGCGGGGAAUGCAACUAGGCAUGGGGUCGGUGCGUUCGGGUGCGGGGCGUGCUGCUGAUCGCGGGAGCCCCCUUGCCUGCAUGUGCACCUGAGCCGCCCGCACGCUCGCGCUCGCGCCCGCACCUGCACCCGUGCCUGCGCGCCCUGUUCCCCAAAACCCUACUGCGCCGACCCACCCUUGAGCUCCCAGCUUCACGUCCUGUAACCAUCCUAUGACUGCCAGCUCCUCGCAGCUGCUUCGCGCACCUGGCCGAUGUCGUUGAUCUUCACCAUGUUGAUUUCAUCGUAUGUUUUGUACGCCUCCACCACCGUGGGGAGAUUGAGCAGCUUGACGGGGUAUGACACGCCUUCCACCGACAGGACCCCAUCCAAAUUGUUAUCUGUACGGCGAGGGCGAUGUGCUCCGUGGUCAGAGUGACAGGAGUGACAUGACAGCGACAUAGGCGGGUAGUUGUGAGGAAGCAACGCGCUGUGCAAAGGUACAUUUGGGAAUUGGGACAGUCCAGGGGCAGGGCGCUCGCACAGCACCACCAAGCCACUCAAACCCGCUUGAACUAGCCGCAUGUAACUUCCUUCCCUGGCAGCCCUACCUAGCCCUAGUCCGUCAUGUCACCGCUGCUUGUGCUAACCCCGCAGCCCUCUGGAGUCCCAGUGCACCAUGUAGCGCGGAUGUUUGCGUAGGGCACCAGGCUAGUGGCGGGUGGCACGUUCCGCACGCCAGACCCCAUCGCAAGGCACCCACACGGCCACACGCACCCUGGAAUGUUAGCUCCACAUGCCCGUGUACCGUGGCCUCCUCUCUCAAUACUCUGUGUAGCUUGUCCGCGAGCGCCUCGUCCGCAACACGCAAAACAAACAGCUCCUCGCCGGCUCCACCGCCUGCGCCCUCCGCCAUUGGCCGCUGUUACCUCGUAGCUAAACUAUAAUUUCCGCUGCAUGGCCCAAGCUUUCAAACGCGGCAUGCAAAACUGCAUCAGAGUUCAGUCUUCUUGCACCUGGAGAUAGUUUGAUGAGCGCUCGUGUCCUUUUAUAAUGAUACUGUAUACAACUAAUAAGCAUUGUAUUAAGACCAAAGUGAGACGUUUGCGUCCUCGAUCCGCGACGAGUCAACAUCACAUUGGCUCGACAGCUGGGCAAGAGAAUAAGUCAGCAUCCAUAUUCAACUCACUUAGUACAUCGGCGUAUCUGAUUGCAGCUUGCACGAGAAGUUUGACCACAUGCCAUAAUGAGAAUGGCCGCUGCCCUGCGCUGGGCGUUUCAGCGCUGGCAUCCAUCUGCGUAGCUCAGUAGCUGGCGAUAGUUACGGUCCCUGAAAUUCGCGGCGUGGUCGGCACCCAAAGGCGUGUUCGGGAUGGCUUGCAGCCCCAAGCGGCCCGACCCACUUCGCGAUGCCGAGGCGCGCGUGCGAGCGCUCACGCGCGAGGUGGGCACGCUGCGUGAGGACUUGCGGCGGGAAGUCAAGCGGCGGGAGCGCGCCUCGGCCCAGGUGCGUGCAUGGCGUGAGGGCUGGACAGGGUGCAAGGGUUCCUGUCACACGACCCUCCUUUCCAAGCAUCCUGUCGUUAACUCCUCCCGCACCCUGCAGUCUCGCGAGGCCGAGGAUGCCAAGAAGGAGCUAGAAUCGCGCGUGAACGAGCUCGCAUACAGCAACCGCAAGCUGGCGGGGGAGCUAGAUGCGCUGCAUGAGGCGGCACGGGCCGGCGCGGAGCGGGACCGGCGGGCGCUGCGCGGGUUGCGGGAGGGGCUGGCGGCGGUGGAGGCAGCGGUGGCGGCACGAGCACGCAAGGGCGCCACGCAGGUAGCCUCAUACUGGUGUGCCACUUUGUAGGAAAGGGGCUUGGCUUGGGGUUAGGGCACGCAGCGCAGUGGAGCCAGGGCGCAUGUACCGGUCAUGUACAGCAGUGUCGGCGGCACGUGGUGCGCGUGCGUGUGUGUCUUGCUUGUGUCCUGGGCCUCAUGUGGACUGUCGGGCGCUCAACCGCCCAGUCCCGUCUUCCCGUCUCGCUCGCAGGUUCGGCUGCUGCAGGAGGCGCAGCAGGGGCUGCGGCAGCUGCUGUUCUCGGGCGGCGCAGCCGCAGCCGCAGCCGCAGGCGGCGGCGGCGGCGGCGGCGCAGCCGCCAUCGGCAGUGACCUGCUAGCCAACGUAACGGGCAUAUCCUCGGCGGCGGCGCCGCGGGCGGAGGCACUGCUUGGCUCGGCGCAAGCGGCGGCGGGGCGGCUGGCGGCGCUGCUGUUGGGGGCGGAAGGCGACGGCCUGCCGGGCGCGGGUGGGGAGGAGGAGGGCGAGGAGGAGGAGGAGGAGGAGGAGAUGGAGGCGGGGCGGCUGGCGGGAGGCGCAGGAGCCGGCGAGGGCGGCAGGCUGGCCUUCGACAUGGAGAAGGAGCAGCUCAAAGACGAGGUGGUGGGUGCCUGUGUGCGUGUGUGGGUGGUGCUGCGGUGUGGCAGGCCUGGGAGCCGAGAUCUCAUAAGCGGAGGGGUUUGGGCGCCGAGAGAAAGACCCUAGUAAGGCCGGCCCUUUGUGCAUCCACCAUUGCCCGUCUCAUCAUGCCUCCCGUCCUGCCGUGCUCGCACGUGUGCCGUAGGUUCGGCUGCGGGCGGAGAUGCGGCUGCUGUCCGACAAGGCCGCAGGUGCGCCACACCGUGACCACCCGCACCCGCACCUGGGGGACCGGGCAGCGGGCGGCGAUGCUGCUGCCGGAACGAGAUGCUCGGCCCCUUGUCACCGCAGUGGCCUCGUGACCGGCAUUGCCUGCACACGCCCUGUGUGUGCCGACAACCUCCUGCUCUCUUCCUGUGCCUUGCGUCCUCGCAUGCUCCCCUCUUCUCGCCUCGUGCAUGCUUCGCCCUGCGUCCUUCCUGACGCUCCCUGGGCUCGCGGGCUGCCUCCCACAGGCUCCGCCAGCUGCGCGGCGCUGGAGCUGGCGGCCUCGCUGCGGGCGGCGCAGGACGAGGUGGGGCGGCUGCGCGGGGAGCUGCUGCACGCCAAUGCGGAGGCGGCGGCGGCGGCCCGGGAGCGGGAGGCGCUGGCGGGCGCGCUGGAGGAGGCGCGGCGCAGGUGGGGAUGGCGGGGUGGGAGGUGGGUUGUUUCCCAUCAUCUCGUGAAAAGAAAAAGCAAGAGAGCGAAGAUCAUGGCCUGGAAGCGCGAAGAGGGAGGCGGGUAUGGAUGGAGGCAGCGCGCGCGGUAGAUGGGCGCGCGCGCGAUGGGGCAAAUCGAAAGGCGAUUGCUAAGGCAAGUCGGUUGGCUGUUUGCCCCCCCCCUGUCCCCCGCUUGCUUGGUUUUAGUCCUCAUGGGAACCUUGAUUUGCUUGCGAUCAGUUCAACUAUCCCCUGCCCCAACGCCCGCGCCCUCUCUCGCGCCCGGCCUGCAGGCUGCAGCAGCAGGACGAGCUGCAGAGCGCCAUGGUGGCAGCGGCGCGGCAACAGGAGGACGGCAGCCUGGGCCGCGUGGCGGAGCUCACAGCCAAACGGGUGGCGCUGGAGGGAGAGGUGUGUGUGUUUGUGUUUGGGAUGGGGCGCUGGGGUUACCGCUUAUUUGGGCCUGGCGGGGUGGGGUGAGCGUGUGUGCCCGAGCCGGAAGUACGGCGGUGGUUCAAGCCAGGGGAUGCACCGGCACCCGCGCAUGCCGGUGGUCCCACAUGGACGACCACCGGGGCUUCGGGCUGUGUGUGUGUGGUGCUCUGGUCCAGGGGGCUCGAAGGGGGCCGGCGCCGCGCCUUGCUUCAUCCAAUCACGGCAUACGAACUCCUCUGCACCCCACCCCAACCCACCUCAUGCCACCCUGCCCGCCCCCCUGCCCCGCGCUCUUCCCUGCCCUGCCUGCCCCCUGCGCUGCCCCCUGCCCCCUGUCCUCUGCAUCCUGCUGCCCCCUGCAGGUGUCCAGCCUGUCCCAGCAGCUGGCGGCUGUGCGGCAGCAGCUGAUGGCGGCGCUGGGCGAGCGGGCGGAGCUGGAGGCGGCGCUGGCGCAGAGGGAGUCGGAGCUGAGGCUGGCCAGGGUGAGGGCGGGUUCAUACGAGGGGAUGGGAUGGGGGAGGGGGGCCGGUACGGCCACGGUACCGCCACGGUACGGCCACGGUACGGCCACGGUACGGCCACGGUGGAUCUGCAGCAUGUGCAGCAUGUGCAGCAGCCUCAGGGACGGGGUCAAUCCGUCGCGGUCCCCUCCACAAUGUCGCAAACACUCGCACCUCAAUCCCUUACCCAUAUCCUCUACCUGGCAAUCCCACGCUGCAACCCCCCCCCCCCCCACACACACACACACCAGGCCAACAUCCUGGAGCAGGGCGCAGACAUACGCAGCGCCCUCACGCUCAUCUCCCGCCCGCCCGGGGCCGCAGCCGCCGCCUCCGCCGCCUCCCUUGCCCCGCCGCCCCCACACGCCCACACAAUGCCCACGGGUUCUGCGGGUAUCGGCGCCGGAGGCGCGGCCCUCGGCAGCGGCGGCGGCGGCGCCGCCGCCGGGCUGGACGCUACGCUCGCCGCCGCUUUGGCGCCGUACCAGAACGCCUCUGCGGUCAUAGGGUCCGCCCUCGCGGCCGCGGCUGCCAUCGUCCCUGUGGACUCGGGCGGCACUGCGGGCAGAGGCCCGGCUUGGCCGCCGGGGCUCGCCGGCGCCGGGGCGGGCGGCACUGGAGCAGGCGCCGGCGGCAGUGGCGCAGGAGGCAGUGCUGGUGUUGGUGUUGGUGGUGUUAGUGCGAGUGCGCUAUCAGACAUGACGUCGCUGUUCACGCAGUGGCCGGGGCUCGCCCGCGCCAAGGCAGCCUUUGGCGGAGCCGGCGGCACCGCCGCGCCCGCGUUCCAAGGCCAGGGGCUGGAGGCGCAGCGGAGCUUUUCAUUCGGAGGCGGGGCCGGCGCCGCGUCAGGGGCAGGGGCAGGGGCAGGCGGGUUCUCCGCCAGGGGCCUGCACGUGCCGGCAGCGGCACCACACGCAGCCGACGGUGCCGGCGUCCACGGCUCCGGGGGCAAGCCGUGGAGCUUGAACGCAGGACCGGGACCAGCAGUGGGCGGCGGUGGGGCUGGUUCGGGAGGGGCGGCGGCCGCGCGGUCGCCUCGGCGCCCGGCUGGUGUGCAUGAGGGCUGGAGCCCGCGAGGCGCAGGAGCGCGGGGCGGCGGCGGCGGCGGAGGCGGAGGAGGAGCAGGAGGAGGCGGAGGAGGAGGUCAUGGUCGGGACCUGGACGGCCCCGAGGAGGAGGCGUGGCGGGGCCGGCGGCGUGUGGGCGGCGGGGGUGAAGCGCUGCUAGGGCACGCCAUGCGAGGAGGAGGUGGAGGAGGAGGAGGAGGUGGAGGUGGAGGUGGUGGGAGAGGUGGCGGGGGAGGAGGUGGUGGGUCGGGCAAGGGCCGGCUGGCGGCGCUGCGGCGGGACAUGGCGUGUCUGGAUGACGAGAUUGCGGCCAUGGAGGCGUCGCUGUCGGCGGCGGCGGGGGGCGGGGGCAGGCGCUGAGGGGGACAGAAGGUGGGGUUUAGGUGCUGCGUGUGUGCGUGUGUGUGGGGGGGGGGCGGGGGGUUCGAGGGGAGGGUCAGCAGGCGGCGGGGCGCUUGUGCUGCCGUACGGCGUUUGUAACGAAGGGAUGUAAAGGGGAUCAUCGGCACAUGGCUUGCACCGCCGGGCAGCAUCGACACGUGUGAAGGAAUGCAGGGGAUGAGGGGCUGAAGGCAGCCAAAGGAAAGCAGGUUGAGCAUCCCGCGCUGAGCCAGCGCAGGUGGGGAGGCAGCCGGCACGCCAAGCGUGCGCUGGCCUCGCGUGCUGGCGGACCGCGCACGCUUACGCGACGAGGGCGGGUCGCUUUGAUUGAAGUAAUUAUACUACUUCUAUGUUGCUGUAUCGUCUCGAGCGCCUUCACAGCCCGCGAACGCGCAAUUGCAGAACACACGCGCCUUUCCACGAUUCGGAUAUCCACCAGGCGGAGUCAGAACUCAACUUGCUUGUAUCGGUUUCAAGCAUUACGUAUUAGUUGCAUGGCCGCACUGUAGGACAGCUGAAAAUGCGGAGCCUCGGCCUUUCGUUGACGCUGCUCGUAGCGGUGUUGCACUGCAUGCAUGCUGCCAGAACCAUUCCUAAGCACAGUAUCGACAUUGUAAGCAACACGCACACUCACAAAAGGCGAGGAGGCGACGAUGUGCCGGGCACCAUCAAGCCCACGUACGCGGGCUACCUGAAAGUCAGCCCGGACGGCUCAGCUAUCUAUUAUGCAUACUAUGAGGCACAGACUCAGGGGAAGUCGGAGGAUGCCGGGGAUGCGCCCAUCGUGCUCUGGCUGCAGGCGAGUGCCGGGGGUGGUGCACCCGCGGCAUGCUCACUGCUCCACCCUGUGCGCACACUGGAACACACCUUACGGUCUGGAGCUUUCCUCGGGGGUCGUCCCGGAUAGGACCUACACGAAUACGCAAAUGUACCUGUGCAUUUGCAGUUUGCUUUCCACUUGCCCAAGGGCCGAUCGCUUUCGAGAGUGUGCCGCACUCUCAUUGCGGGUGCCUCCCCUAUCCUGCGUCUGCUGUCAUGGCAGUAGUUUUGCAAGCAAGUCCUUGCAUGCACCUACUUAUCCUUGAAAUGAACAUAACACACUUACAAACCGUAUGGCCACAACGCUGCCGCUGCCGCUGCUGCUCCCUCUGCAGGGCGGCCCGGGCUGCGCCUCCACGUUCGGGGGCUUCUACGAGCUGGGGCCGUGGUCGGUGCGCGAGGACCUGAGUGUGGAGCCCAACCCGGGUACGUGCGGGAGUUGGCACGUGUGUGUGCGUGUGUGUGUUGUGUGUGUGUGUGUGUGUGUGUGUGUGUGUGUGUGUGUGUGUGCGCGUGCAUAUGUGCGUGUGUUGGAGGUAACGAGGAGUACUGUGUUCCUAAAUGGCUCAGGUUACCAGGUGCAGGGGACCGGGGCUUUUCCCGAACACGAGUGUGGCCGGCCGGCUCCCGCGGCCCUGCCUCCCACAGCCGUGUUCUGAGGUGCCCAGGGCCUCUGAAGGGGCGGGUAUGGAACGCCCCAACACGUCAAGGCCACCGGCCACACAGCAGCACAGCACAGACUCCUCGCCGGACGCCUCCCUCCCCCAUUCCCAACCUGCUGGGCUGCUUGUUAGACUGCGUCACACCGUGGGUCUUACUGGGAACGGGGAAACUCACCUCCCCCUCCACCACCUGCCACACACACACACACGCACGCACGCAAUGAAUCGCAGGCUCCUGGAACCGGCUGUUCGGGCUGCUACUGCUGGACCAGCCAGUGGGCACCGGCUACAGCCUGGCUGCCAACGGCAGUAGCAGCGUGCCGCCGGACGAGAUCGGCAUGGCCACACACCUGUACACGGCGCUGCAGGUGGGAACGUGUGUGUAUUUGGGGUGUGUGGGGGGGGGCGGGGGUUUGUAAAUACCAGCCCUUAUUAGACCGAACCCAAUGCAAUAGAGCGAGGAGGGGUGGGCCGGGGCCGGGGGCCAGCCCAAAGCCGGGGGCCAGCCCAAGGCCCAAAGCCAACCAAACCAAGCCAGGGGGUUGGAUGCAGCAGCUUGCUGGGCAUGGGUAAGUGGGGUGCGUGUGGGGUGCGUGUGGGAUGCGGCUAAGGCCUGGCGAGUUGCACCCCGGCGAGUCCAUCAUGAGCCCAUCAAGGGAUGCGAUGCACACAUACGGUACACACAUUCACACACACGUGCUUGCUUGUCGCUUUCCUUCGACACACACGUGCACACACACGCCUUGCUCAACCCGCACAGGGCUUCUUCACCAGCCACAAGUCGCUGGCUGACCGCCCCUUCUUCAUCACCGGCGAGGUGUGUGUGUGUGGGGGGGGGGCAAGCAGUUCAUUCCAGAACCAGCCCACAACGGGGAGGGCACAGGGAUGCUGGGGACGUGGUGAGGGGCGGUAGUUGUGUGGACUCAUGCUUGGGCUUGGGGUGGGCCAAGUCAUGCGUGCAUAAGUUAGCUGGCGCAAAGCCGCGUAACAAACCUUUCUCCCUGCCGCAUGCUGCGCGCAUUAAUCCAUGCUUGUAUGUACAUGUCUAACAUGUGUGAUUGUUUCUUUGCGUGUGUGGUGCCUACAGAGCUACGCGGGCAAGUAUGUGCCGUCCAUCGCGCACUACAUCCUGCAAGUCGGCGAGGAGGCGGGGCAGCACCAGCACCAGCAGGGGCAGCAGCAGCCGGGCUCCAAGGGCCCGCUGCUGAGCCGGCGCCGCAGCCUGCCGCUGGGGCAGAGCGCGCCCGUGUUCAAGCUGGCAGGUAGGGGUGGGGGGGCGGGUAGUUGGGCGGGUGGGUGCAGGAGGGUGGGGGGGAGUUCCUUUCCUGAAAUAGUUGGGCGGUUGCUUAAAACGGACAAACAAACACAUGCGCGGUAUGCGAGGGUCGAGGUUUCCGUACAAGGCUGCCAAGCCAGCGCAGCUCGCCAAGUCGCCUUUCAACUCGCCUUUCCCGCCAAGCCGUGCCCACUGCCCCCCCCCCCCCGUGAUCAUCUUACUGACGUUACUACAAUACGAUCAACCUACUUAGAAUAGUCUUUAGACAAAAUGGGAGAGCAGCAGCAGCAGCCUUCGGCGGGUCUACGCGCUGGAGCUGGCCGCUGGACUUCACGGACAUCGGUAACAACGCGUCUACGCUGCAACUGUACCUGCCUACGACUUCACUUCUUAAUUAAUCAUGAAUGUAACCCCCCCGCUCCCCUCCCCCGCCUCCCUCCCCUCCCCUCCCCUGACCCUCCCCCGCCCCCCACCUCCCCUGCACGCGCCCUCCCCCCCCCCCUCCAGGCAUCGCCAUCGGCAACGGCCUGACAGACCCACGGGCCCAGACCCAGACGCUGGCCGCCGCCGCCUACUACAGCGGGCUGCUGCCGCCGGGGCUGAGGGACGUGGUGGCGGGCCGCGCAGCCGAGGUGGUGGGGCUCAUUGAUGCGCGGCAGUGGGCGGAGGCGCACGACGCCCGAGAGGCGCUGCGCGGGUGGGUGGGCGGGUUGGGUUGGGUGGGUUGUAAUGGGUGGGUGGGUGGGCGGGUUGGGUUGGGUGGGGUGUAAUGGGUGGGUGGGUGGGCGGGAGGGUGGGUGAAGACACGGUGACACACGCACCUGCUCUUUUGUUGCCCGCCCUACCCCACGCCAGUCAAGGGCAACUUCCCCCCUCUAGAACCCAAUUUUGGCUUCCCUCCACCCCCCAAAUCCCUUGCGAAUGUGUUUGCAACUUCGCAGCUUCAUCACCAACGCCACGGGUAUCGCCACCAUGUUUGACACGCGCCGCACGGAGAUGUACGACCCCAGCAGGGCCGUGGACCGACUGCUCAACCUACCCGAGGUAGGGGCGUGUGUAAACGUGUGUGUCGCCGUGUGUGUAUGAGUGUGUGUCUUAAGGUGUGUGUACCGUAUCGUAUGCGUGUACGCCGUACGCCACGCCCUAACACACGCGCUCGCUUGCUGCCGACGACCCUGCCGAUGGUCUUAAUAGUCACGGUCAGUACCCCAUCGCAGCCGCAUGCCCCACAGUUUGUCACUGCUGCUGUUGCUACUGAGCCUGCUGCUCCCCACACCUCCCGCCACCCGCCCCCCAACCCCACCCCACCGCGCUCAGGUGAAGGAGGCCAUGCGCGCGCGGCCCGACUCCAACUACACCUCCUGCUCGCAGCUGGUGGGGGGUGUGAUGGCGGCGGACACGAUGCAGUCGGUCAAGGCGCUGCUGCCCGACAUACUGCGGCGCCUGCCCGUGCUGCUCUACCAGGUGGGCGGCGGGGGGGCGGGGGGCGGUGUGUUUGUGUUGUGUGUGGUUGUGUUAUGUGUGGUUGUGUGUGUGUGUGUGUGUGUGUGUGGGUGUGGUUGUGCGGUUGUGUGUGUGUGUGUGUGUGUGUGUGAGGGGGGAGUCUCUGUCAUGUUGUUGUGGCCGUCGGUAGGUGGAGGGGCAAGUGGGGAGGGGGUGCGUGAGCGGUUGGGGACAGGAGAGGUGCAAGGGAGUGAAGCCACUGGUGGGUGAGGACGCCAAAGGGAGAAGGGGAAAUCCUGCGCCCAUCCACCCGCCCUCACGUGCCCACACACAAAGUAUACCACCCCAUCAUACCUCAUACACAAACACACCCGAUUGCCGUACACACACACACGCGCGCGCGCGCGCACGCACACACACACACACACACACACACACAGGGUCAGUACGACAUUCUGGACGGCGUGGCCUCUGUCACCUCCUGGACGGAUGCGCUGGAGUGGGAGCACCAGGUGUGUGUGGGGAGGGGGCCUAGUGGUGGGUUGAUGGUGGUGGGGGUGGUUGAGUGGUGGUGGUGUCAUGGCUAAUGGGUACUGGUGGCAGCCUGGCGGGGUGGAGGGUAAACCAACAGCAAACCCAGUCAGGAACAUGAGACGCCAAGGGUGGCGGUGGGGUGGUCGAGGAAGCGCUAACCGGGCGUAUGUUGGAGAAAGGGACGGCGCUAAACCAACAGCGGAGUGACGCGCCGUUGGCGACCACGGCGUCACAGCCGGGGGGCCAAGUGUCGAGCGACCAACACCCUGCCUUUCCCCCUUGGUUGGUUUAUAGUUUGGGCUGCUAUCUACACCCUCCCCCCUCCCGCUUACCCUUCCUGCCCUGCAGGCGGAGCUGCAGACGGCGCAGGGCUCCCUCUGGUACCUGGCCUCAGACGACGACGACCACGAUGACGACAAGGGUGGCGACGGGCGCCGAGACCUGCAGGGCGCGGCUGCGGGCGGUGCGGCGGCGCGCUCGGCGGUCGGGAUCAGCCCCGACACACGCGGCCAGAAACCGGUGAGGGGGUUGGUUGGGUGGGUGGGUGGGUGGGUGGGUGGGUGGGUGGUUAAGUGGGUGAGUGGGUGACGCGUGUCUCCGCUUCGGACAUCCACGGGGCCACCACACAGUAUCCGGAUGCGAGGCAGACCCUCCCCCCUCCCCACCACCACCACCCCAUGUGCCCAUCCGUGCCCGCUGUACCCUUCCCCCGCCCACUCCCUCCAAACCCCACCCGCUUCCCUACGCUCCAAUCCAAAUCUUUUACAACCCGCUGGUCGCUGCGCACAGGCUGCUGGCUGGCGCCGCUCCGCCGGCCCGCUGACGCACGUGGUGGUGUAUCGGGCCGGUCACAUGGUGCCGCACGACCAGCCGGCGGCGGCGCUGCAGAUGAUGGAGGGCUGGGUCAUGGCGGCGCUGGAGGGCGCAAAGUUUUCUUAGUGCUUGAUGGGUGGUGAGCAGGCGAUGGCGUCGGAGGUAGUUGGGAGGCUGGGGAGGGGGCGUGCGUGACUGUGUGAGCAAAGGAGCUAGGUAUCGUAUGGGCAGCUCACGUCUGGGGAAGCUAGGGCGGCAGGUUGUGAUAACGGUAGAAUGGGUUGAGGCGAAGUGAGCGGGAUUGCCAAAUGGGCCACUGUGUACCAAAUGCAGCGCUGCGGGGUACUGCCGGUCAAGCACGAUGUCGCGGCGGCGCUGUGUGCUGUUGGGCUCGUCGUGUGGCCGUGUGGGCACCGGGGGUCCGUGCAUGGGGAAGAAUCAGGCGACAUGGGCCAUGGGCCUCCCUUUGCAGUGCCAAACAAACAAUUUUUGUAAAGUUUCAACUUACAAUACAUCGUCGCUUUCGCUGCUCAAGUUGGAAACCCGAAAUUGAUUAUUUGAGAAAAAGCGGUUUGUCGGGCUCGCAGAACAAUAUCACUUGCGCUUGACCUCAACUGCAAAAAGAGAAAACUACAAGCGCCCAGUCGUAGUUCUGAUUCCCAAGAAACUGUGUUUGCUUGACACAACUUCAAGCUCUCCGAGCCGCUGAGCUAGCAACAUGGACGUAGACGAGCAGUUGGAUGAUGAACUGGAAGCGGCCUUCGAGGAGGCGUUUGAGGAGGCACCAGCGACCGCGGACGAUGGCGCGGGCGCGGGCGAUGCUGGCGAUGCCGGCGAGGCCGCGGGCGCAGGGCCAGGCUUGUGAGUCCGGCUUUAGGCCAUGGCAACGGGUGGCUGUGAUGGUGAAGGUUAUGUGUGCAGGGGGUUUACACAGGCUGGGCGCGCAGCCUGGGCAGGGUGAGACGGGAUAGCUGGACAGGGGUGGGGAGGCACAGGCAGGGGCCUCUAGGGGUCACCAGGUUGCUGCUUUGCGUGUCCACGCCCAUUCCUGCAGCUGCUGUUGCCCCGGUGCGGCCGGCCCACCUGUCGCUCACGUGCCUCCAUCAAGCCCCCUGGCACCACUAUCGGACCAGAACGCACGUGCCCGCGGUGCCCCGCCGCAAACACACACACACACACACACACACACACACACACACACACACACACACACACACACACACACACACACACUCACUCACUCACUCACACACACACACACACACACACACACACACACACACACACACACACACUCACUCACUCACUCACUCACACACACACACUUACUUAUACACACACGCACACACACACACACACACACACACACACACACUCACACACACACACACAUACACACACGGGUACACACACACACAUACACACACACUCCCCACACACACACACGCCCUAGGGACGAGGACGACUACGACGACACGGACGCGCCCGCACGCGGCGAGCCCGCCACCAAGCCCGACGACGACUCCACACUGCAGGUCAGCACUUGGCCCCCCUGACCCCUGAUCCCCUGCACCCUGUGCAUGUAUCCUGGCCCCCUGCUAUUGUGGGAUGGCGCAAGCACUCCCCCUGCCCCCGCCUUGCUGCUAUCACCGUAGUCAAGGCCAGUGGCACCUGGCUCCGUCCGCCAACAGUGCGGAACCCGGGCCAUGCAUGCCUACCCCCGCCGCUGCUUUGUCGGUCUCGCAGUGUUUAGCAUCGUCGCUAACUGGUGGUGCGCGCUGCCCUCUGCAGGUGUUCCGCCUUCUCAAGGACGGCGGGCAGGGGGCCGUGGGGGGCCGCGGGCAACCCGCAGCAGCGGCCGGGCCAAGCCAGGCGGAGGAGGCGGCAGCGGCGGCAGCACCGACGUCUGCGGCGCCUGACCGGGCAGCAGCCUACAAGAAGGAGUGAGCUGUGGGGCCGGGGUACGGGGCCGGGGUGGGGCCAAAGUGGGGCCCGGGUGGGGGCAGGGUGGGGGCCGGGUGGGGCCCGGGUGGGGACCGGGUGGGGGCAGGGUGGGGGCCGGGUGGGGACGGGGUGGGGACCGGGUGGGAACAGGAUCGCGAGGCUAUGACGGGGAGAUUGACCGGCGUGCGUGCGCUGCUGCGCCAGGGUGCUUCCCGGUUGUACCGCAACCAACAGGGGAAGGGUGUGCAGCCUGCGUGCACGUGCUUGUGAGCUUGUGAGCUUGUCUCAUGCGUUGUGUUGGGCGCCCUCGCCAGCGCCUCAACCCACUGCCCCCCCGUCUGUCCUGCAGGGUGUUUGACUCCCUGACGGAGCAGCAGAAGAGCCGCUUCGAGGCGUUCAUGCGCUCGUCCAUACCCAAACCCAAGAUGAAGAAGGUAGGGGCCGAGGCUGCGUGCGGGAGCUGUGGGAGCGCUGGGCCUGUUGGGGGCGGCGCACACGGCGGCACACCCUGCGUGCGGUGCACGCAUGCACCUCGACAGCCUUUGGGGCACUGCUGCACAGUGCUCCAGCACACCUUUGCAACCCACGUUCUCGAACCUACCACGCCACGCCACGCCACACCCCACCACACCACACCACACAACACCACACCACACAACACAACACAACACACGACGCCCCGCCCCACUAUGCCUGACCCCUACCACACUCGAACCAAACCCCUAUCACACUCGAACCAAACCCCUAUCCCACUCGAACCGACCCCCGCCACGCUCACGCAGUUGAUGACGGCCAUCCUGCGCAACGCCGUGCCCAACGAGCGAGCCAUCAUCGCCAUGUGCGGCAUCAGCAAGCUGUUCCUGGGCGAGCUGGUGGAGAUGGGUGAGGGCGCGCGGCGCGGGGUGCGGGGGCCGGGUUGUGGCAGCUUGGUGCUGGCGAGGCGUGGCGUGGCGUGGCGUGGCGUGGCGUGGCGUGGCGUGGCGUGGCGUGGCGUGGCGUGGCGUGGGGACAGGGCGUCGGAGCCACAAGGGCUUGCAUGGUCGCCAAGCAGGCCGAGACCCGUUGCAUUGCGCCGAGAGCGGGGGUUGCCAAGGGCGGGGGUGCAUGGGCCGCGGGCCGCCUUGUCAGGGCCCUGCGUGUUCAUUUUACUGCCGCGCGCGCUUGAGACGCCAUGCGCACAGCAUACCGUGUGUCCUUGUAACCCGGGCACUGCGCCCGACCCAACCCAACCGUCGUGCCCCGCUCUCGCCGCCCCCCCCCUCCUGUCCCUGUCUACGACUUCACUUCGUAAACUUAAUGCAUGUAACCCCCCCCCCUCCUGCAGCGCGUGUGUGCGCCUCCCAGGAGGGACACACCGGGCCGCUGCUGCCGCGCCACGUGCACCGAGCCUACCAGCAGCUAGGCGGCCUGGGUAAGCUGCCACACACACGCCGCGGCGGGCCGCCCAGCGGCAGGCGCAUGUUCCGGUGAACGGGGUACUGUCUGCGGGAGGCGGGGUUGGAGCGUUUUGGGUGCUUGCGGCAGGGGAGCGGCGCGAUGUGUUGGUGGCGGGGCAUACUCGCCUGCAUGGGGUUGAGCGUCUUGGAGCAUUGGGGCUGCGUUGGGAGCACUGCCAGCUGCCGUGAAGGAUGGCGGCAAGGAGAAUGGGAAGCAACAGCCGAUUGUGAGUGGCGUUGGCAGUUGGUGCCGGGCUGCUGGUAUCAGCAGGUGUGGAUUCCAGUACCGGUAGCUUGUCGACGGCUGGAAAAGGGGCUGAGACUCUGCUAUCAGCCCCGGCCGUUUUACAGCAGAUAAAAUGGCGAAGAAACUAGGGAACGAGGACCCUUACGCGGCCGGACUGAUCUGUGGUUGUAUACGCGGGAUAGAGCUGGGGCGCGCCGGGCGUGCCGCGCGGGAUUGGCUUUGGCGCCGCAGUCUCAACACUCUGUAGUCUCAAUUAGCGGUGUCUGCAUCUUUUUCUUGAGCUCUUGGGUAACUACACGAUCACCCAUGUCACUUCUCCGCAAUCUUAUACGGAGGCGGGGGCAGACAAGCUCCCGCAGUCAGCCGCACUUUUACAGCGAAUCAACUUUUAGAGCCACCCAGCUCACGACCAAGGGCGGGCAGACGCGUGCUAGCUGUAUUGCAGGCGGAGCUGCUAGGGCCUGCCGCUGAUGCUUUUACUGCAGCGGGAGCGGUUGCCGCACGGUGGCGGCAAGACCAUGGCGAGGGCGCUGCGCUGCGCUGCAGCGGCGACGGCCAACACGGACGCCAACCCGGACGUAAGUAAUCUGGUUCAGUGUAUGCUGACCUGCAUUACACCUUACACCUGUAUGUCAUGUAUAUAACAGUCCUCGAGCAAACGGCACAGCAGCUGGCUGGCGGAAGGCCCAUGGAAGAGGUCAUUGCCGGCUGGGGCAAUGCCAGCACUGGCUACGGAGGCUGUGUCAGCAGGUCAGGCAGGGGCCGAAACCAGGCGUUGCUGCAUCUGCUGGUGGACAAGUACGUGCACCUGAUGGUGUGUGUGGACGAGUAUUCAUAAACCAGCCAUCAUGUAAGCUAAGACGUUCUCAUAGGGACUUGGCAGGGUCCGUUACAUCGCGCAAGCAUCCAACUACAUUGUCGAGACGGUGCAGGUGUGCGGACAUGCAUACAGUGCUUGCUGGUAAUUUGCAACACUGCCUGCAAGUAGUGAUUGUGUUUGGUGGUUGGCGUGCCCGCAGGGUCCAAGCGUGCCAACACUGCGGAACUGUGUGGCAAAGUCUGCCUCGAGUACGGCCAGUUCAGGGGGGCCAGGGCAAGUUUCGGAUUCAGGUUCAGCUGAUUCAGUCGGAAUAGAUGUAGUAGAGGGGCAACACCUACUCAAUGACAAGCAUGUGGCACACGCUGAUGAAGAUGCUGCUUGGUAGGGUGCGGCCUACGACCCUGAAUUGUGGUGGAGGCGAUAGAGGCAGCAGUGGCAGGGCCUGCUGGUGACUGCGGCCACAAUGCAGGGUCUCGCGGUAGUGGUAGCGGUGCAGGGCCUGGGUGGCGGCGUGCAUGUGCAUAGCGGAGGGGGUAGGCAAGCAAGGCCGUGCGCAGGAGGAGCACGAGCGCGGCGCCACCCAAAGAAGUGGUGCCGGCGCGCAGGUUGAGAUUUGCCGGUGCCUUGUUUGAGCCUAUGCUGGCGAGCAUGUCCUAGCAUGUACCGUAUGCGGUCGUCCUGUCAUUGGGUUUGGGGCCACGCACACUUCCACGGGGUGUAGACGUCUUUGGGGGCUUGGGGCAGUAGAUGCUGGGGGAGGGGUGGGGUCGUCUGUGAAGACGCCGCGGGGCCUGACGGCCAGUGCUCGUAUCUUCCAUCUACACUGUAGAAAUCUGCCCAAAAUCCGCCGAAGGCGGAGAAAAAUUUUUGGGUUUGGGUGCCACGCAUCUACGCAGUGUAGACAGUUUUGGCCGGUUUUGGCGCAAAAAUGGGGGAAGCGUAGACGUUUUGGGGGGCUUGGGGGCUUAAGUGUAGAUGCCGCGGUCAGGGUCAUCUACGCAUGUGUAGAUGCCGGGUGCCUGAGGGCAUCUACAAGAUACGAGCACUGCUGACGGCAUCUACGGUACGGGCACUGUCAGUCCUGUGCCAGCUGUGCUUGUGCUUGACAGCGGGACACGGCUGGACACAUGGCGGGCGGGGCCUGUACCAACCGACCCUGCUGGCUACGUCCGGGAGAUGAGGUAGUUGCGAAACCUUCAGACAUGCAGCAUGGUGCGGGCACAGCUGAGAGUCUGAGACUGAGGGGAGGGUCACCUUUUCUUGUCAAGAGCUGGGUGAGACCACCGCAUUUCAAUGUGGGUAUUGCGCCCCGGUCGCAUCAAAGAAGCACCGGCAUUGCUCACUUGCUCAUUCACAUCGGUUACACUUGCGAAAAGCAUCGCCUGCUUGACCCCCUGCUCAACGCGUGAGCUUGCCCGCCUAGCUACUGCUGGCCCCACGUUGCGGCUGCACCACGCCAGUGUACGCAUGCGGCUACUUGAGCCCACAGUCCCCUCAAUACAUGUCUGCCCUGAGACGCCCACACGGAAUCAUCGCGGAAGAUACUGGACACUGAUGUCAGCAGUUCGCAGUGGAAGCAGCUCACGACUCAGCUAACUGACACAUGCACACUACCCAUGCUACGGCAGAACCAUGCCUAUUCAUUCCCACUUCAGCAGCGCAACGCCGCCUGCGCCAAACGCGCCUCCCUCGAAUGCCGUCAGCACCUGCUGCUCCCCUGCCGCCGGGCUGUGCGAGACGCUCACACAGCCGGGGCCCAACGCCGCUAGUGCCGCCGCCGCCUGUCGCCGGCCCGGGCCGCCGCGCUGCGCCGCUGCGGCCGCCGCUGCCGACGCCUCAUCCAGCAGGAUCUGCAGCGUCGUGACCGCAUUGUCACGCGUGAGCGCCACAAGCACCACAUUGCUAGCCGCCGGCUCCGCUUCCAGUUGCUGCUGCUGCUGCUGCUCCGGCUGCUGCUGCUGCUGCGACUGCCCGUGCAGCGGCUGCAUGACCGCCGCCGCCACGCCGACCAGCUCCGCCGCCGCUGCCGCCGCCGCGGCAGCGGCGGCCUGCGCCGCCGCCGCGCUGGCGUGCACGGCCUGCUGCUGCGCCGGCGAGAUGCGGAAGGCGCCGCGUGAGGCCAGGGCUGCAAGGUCGCGGCCGGUGGUGGGCAGGGCGCGCAGGCCGGCUAGCCUGAAGCCCUCGGCGUGCAGGGCCUCUAGGGCGUCCGCCAGGCGGGCCCAGUCAAGGGUGGGAGCGGCGGCGGCGGCGGGGCCACCCAGGCCGCCCAGGCUGGGAUACGCAGCAUCUGCGGUAUGGGGGUAAGAAAGGAGCAGGGAGGUGGGCUGGCGUCAGAUGGUGGCGACAAUGCGUCAUGGUGUGUGGGAUUGCUUAGCGAGACCGGGGGCAUGAGCUCAGACGAGACGGGCAGGCGCACCUGUGCCGGCGGCAUGUGUUGUUCCAGGAGUGACCACCAUCGCCGUCAGCUGCAGCAGCCGCGACCCCUCCGGCCGCACGAACCGCCGCGCCGGCGCGCCCGGCGCCACCGGCGGAGCCGCCGCAGCCGCCGCGCUCACGAUGGCCGUGCCGCCCGCCGCCGGCCACACCUCCGCCACCACCUCCGCCGCGUCGCGCCAGGUGUCGCACGUGUACACGCCGCCGCCGAUGGCGCCCGACACGUGCGCGCCCGCGCCCUGCCCCCCGGACCCGGCUGAGGCCGCAUGCGGCGGCGCCAGCGCCGCCGCCAGGUGCCGCAGGUGCGCCACUGCGUUGCUGCGGCUGACGUGCAGCACCACAGCUGGCGCCAGCUCCGCCAGCGCCGGCAUGGCGGCGGCCAGCGCGCUGCGCAGGCCCACCGUCACGGUGGCGGCGCCGUGCAGGGCGUAGCCCUCGCGCGCCAUGGCCUUGAUGAGGCGCGGCAGCAGGUUGCGGCCCACCGCGCCAAAGUCCAGCGCCACCACGGCAGGCAGCCGCUGUGGGCCCGCCAGCAGCCGGCACAGCGCCGAGGGCGAGGGCAGCGUGGUGGCGGCGGCGGCCGCUGCCGCCACCGCCGCUGCCUCCGGCAGCGGCGGCCGGUGCACACCGUCGUGCAUACCGGGGUCGAGAUACACUUGCGCCAAGGAGAAGGCGCGCGCCAGGGCGGCCUUGGCGGCGGCCUGGGUGCGGCUGACCGCCGCCAGCAGCGGUGGCUGCGCCGCCGCCCCUGUCCCGCUAGGUGGCGGAGGCACAAGGGCCGCUGCCGUGGCGCCUGAUGCCAGCGGUGACGCAAGCGCGAGCGUGGGGUAAUCGCGCAGUAGCUUGUCGACCACGGCGGACCAGGCCGUGAGGUCAGCGCUUGUGUCACCGGGACGGGCCGCAGCAGUGGCGGCGCCGCCAUCCUGAGUCGCCGCCGCCGCUGUCGCCAGCCUGCUCACGGCCACCUGCAGCAGCGCCGCCACACGCGCCGCCGCCGCGGGGCCGUUGAACGCCGCCAGCAGCGCCGGGUGGCUGAUCACCAGCCGGUGCCGGCCGGUUGCGGCCGCCGCUGCGGCGCCAGCCGCUGCUGAGGGCGAUGACGACGUGGCAGUAGCGCCGGCUGGCUGCGGCUGUAGCACCGUCAGCGCGCCCGCCACGUCGGAGGGCACUUGGCGCAGAUAGCGCACGCCCACGAGCUCCAUCUGCUGCGCCGCCGCGCCGCCAGCAGCCACGCCGAUGGCUGCAGGCGCCGCCGGCGCCGUGACAUACGCUACCAGCGCUGCCAGCACCGCCGCCGCCGCGUGCAGCGGCCGCGCCUGCAGCGCCACCACCGCCACGCCAUCCUCGGCGUGUGCGUGCCCCGCCGCCGCCGACGCGGCGUCGGACGCACCAGCACCGGAUGCAAAGCCGGCGCCGCUGCCGUCCCAGCUGGCGCGGCCGGCGCCGUCAGCCAGCGCCGCCAGGUCGGGCGCCACGGCGGCGGCGGCGGACAGCAGCUGGUCUGCCGUGUACGGCGGCGGCAGCGAGUGCAGCUCCGCCGGUGUGAGUUGCUGACGCAGCGCAUCCGAGCUGCACAGCGGGCUCUGGGACACCACCGCCGCGGCACCGGCGGCUGCGGCGGCUCCGCCGCCGCCAGGCAGCGGCGGCAGCUCCGACAGCAGCACGGGCAGCUGCUGCGCAGCCUCCUCCUUGCUCACCUCCACCACGACCGCCAGCGGCCCUGCGGCGGAGGCGGACGCCGAGGCGUACGCGCCCGCUAGCGCGGCCGGCGGCAGCGCCGACAGCAGCAGGCCGCGCAGGCUGUAGCCGCACCACACCAGCUGCUGCACACACCACAGCGCGGCGGCCUGGCGCGGCGCGCCGGCUCCAGACAGCGCCAGCCACUGGCUCUGUGUGGGACAGCACGAGGUCAGCCCCCACACAGCGGCUCCUGUCGUAGCAGCACCAGCCGCCAAAGGGCUCGCGGCCGCAGCGCCCGGGGUUGCCGGCCGCGGCGACGCCGCGUCCACCCCACCCGCGCCGCCACAAAACAGCGCCGCCACCUCGCGAGCGCCCGCCGCCGCGUCGUACGACGCCGUGAUGUGUCGUACAGCAGCGCCGUACAGCGCAUGCAGCGAGCCGGGCUCCGCCAGCGCGGCCAGUCGGGCGUCGGGCGGCCCUAGCUGUGCCUGCCAUCGCCGCAGCGGCUCGUGUCGGCCGCUGAGCGCCAGCAGUGCGCCGCCGGUGAAGGGCGCGGGCCGGUGCGGCGUCGUCGCCACCAGCGACGCCGUGGCCUCCUCCGUCGCGUACAACACCUGCAGCCCGCGCAAGCUGAGGCCCAGGCGGCACGCGCGGCGCAGCAGCGCGCGCAGCAGCUCCGGCUCGCGCAGCACGCCCUCGCUCACAAGCGACACAAACGUGCUGACACCGGGCGGGUCCGCCGCCACACCCGCAGCAGCAGCUGCUGACCCAGAUGGCGUGGUUGCGGCGCCCGUGAGGCUGCUGCGCGGCGUGGAGAAGGCACCGCCGUGCUGGUGCAGGGCCUGUGUCGGCACACGCAGCACGUCGAACAGCUGAAGCGCCGCCUCCGCACCUGCACGCGCCGUCGCCCACGCGCCCACCGACUGCAGCGCCUGCGGCGUCGUGGCCGCAGCCUGCUCGCCACCGCCAGAGCUUCUGAUGCCCUUCGGCAGCACGUCCGCCCACUGCACGGCACCAAGCGCCGUCAGCAGCUGUGGCGCCGCCGCGGCGGCGGCCUCCGCGGGCAGGGCGUCGUGGCAGUAGCUGUCUGGGUCCACGCCUGCCCUGGCAACGCAGGCUACAGCCAGCACCCGCACCUCGCCGCCGCCGCCUCCCGCUGCCGAGGCCGAGGCCGGCGCGGCCGCCGGCCUGGCGAAGCACGCCGCCGCCGCUGCGGGCAGCAGUGGCGAGGAGGGCGACACGCCCAGCAGUCGCGCGCCUACCACGGAGAACGCCGGCGCGCCCUUGACCGCUCCUGAGGCGGCGGCUGCGCCGCCAGAAGCGGCGGCCGCGUUGAGCAGCCACUCAAGCAGCUGGCCCACCUCAGCGGUGGGCAGGUUUGACGGCGAUGCCAGCAGCAGCGUGAAGGCGCUGGAGGGCGGGAGCCAGGCCGGCAGGCGGCCCAGGUCGGUGUGCGGCGCGGAUGAGGGCGUUGCCAACGAGGCCGCGCCCACACCGUCGCUGACGCCGGAGAUGGAUGCCCGGCCUGCAGCUGCAGAGGCGAGCUGUAGCGAGGCGGGACGCGCGGCGUCGGCGCCGCCCGGGGCCGGCGCGGCCGGCGCGGCCGGCGCGGCCGGCGCGGCUGGUGCCGGCGCGGCCCUGGUCGCCACCGGUGACACGGCCGUGAUGCCGAUGUCGUUCGUGGUGCUGCUUCUGGGGCUCGCGGAAGCGGUGGUGACGGCGGCGGCGGCAGGCCCCAGCGGUGCCAGCACGGUGCCAGCCGCAGCCAUGCGCGCGCCGCGCUCGCGGCUGGCGUGCACCACCGUGGACGGCGUCGGCUCCGCCACCCACUGCUCGUCGCCCUCUGUGCUGCACUGCGCAAAGGCGCGGGCGGGCGCGCCCUCCUCCUCCUCAUCGUCGCCGUCGGGGCCCACCGCGGUGCUGGUGGCAACCGCCGGUGCGGAGGUUGCGGCAACGGGCUUUUUGGCUGUCGGCCCAACGCCAUUGGACAGGGGAUGCGCGCCGAUCGCCGCCUCGCGCUGCGCCACUGCAGGCGGCGGCGAGGGCCAGCGGCGCUCCGAUGCAGACUUGGCGGCCGCAGCGGCGGCGGCCGCCCCCGUUGGUCCUGCGUCCGCAUCGUCCUCGUCCUCGCUCCCCUCCUGUUCUGCUGCCCGUGCCUGCCGCUGCGCCUCCCGCUCCUGCUCCUGCUUUUGCUGCCUCGCCUUGAGGUACGCACGGAUGUCUUGCUGCCGCUCCUCCUCCUCCGCCUCCGCAGUCUUGUUCUCCGAGGUGCCCACGAACACGGACUUGGAGGCGCUGGCACGCAGGUCCGAGGAGUCGGUCCCUGUGCUGGAGGAGGCCACCGCGGUGGCGCUGCCGCCGCCCGCGGCGCCGCUGAGCGUCACGCUGCGACUGGUAGUGCUGCCAGCGGCGGUGCCGCUGGCAACUGCGACGGAGCUGGAGGAGGUGGACGAGUCGCUCAGCGCUGGCCGCCGCGACACCGCCGUUGCGCUGCCCGCGCCGGUAGUAACGGUCGAGCCGGGUGCCCCGGACACCGCCAAGUCAGUCGAGGCCCCUCCCGAGGCCGUGGCUGUGACCUUCUUCUGCGGCGCAGUUACUGCAGUCGCUGCCGGUGCAGGCGCGGGCGCGGCAGCGGGUGCAGCUGCCGGCGCUGGCGGUGGAGCUGGAGCAGGUGGCGGCGACUGCUUGGGGGGCGGCUGUGGCCUCACCUUCGCCGCCCGCCGCGCCGCUUCCGCCGCCUCGUCAUCCUCGCUAUCGUCAUCGCUGUCGACAACACGCCGCCUCGCCGCCGCCGCCUUGGCCUCCGAAGCGCGCGCCGCUGCCUCUGCCUCCAAUGCCUUGACUGCCGCCUCGUCCGCCUCACGCCGGUUUCGCUCCACCGUCUCGGCAAUGCUCUGGCGCAGGUCCAGCUUCACAGGGCCGGAGGAGCUGCUGUCAGCACCUGACUGUGCCGCCGGCGCGCCGGCGGCGGCGGGCGCCGCCGCGCCGGCCUGCGGCGGCGCGGCAAAGAACUUGAACUUUGCUGGCAUGGGCGGCAGCAGCGGCGCGGAAGCAGCGCCGCUGCUAGGCGACGGCGGUGCCGGCGGGCCCGCGGCAGCAGGUGGCGGCUUCGUAGUGGCAGUGGCUGGGGUUGGGGGCGCAGGUGCAUGCACCGAUGGCGAAGGCUUCACCGGCGGUGCCGCGGCCGGCCGUGGCGCCGGCGGCGUUGGUUUCUUCUCCUCCUCUUCAUCGCUCCACAAGCUGUCAGCGGCCGGCAGCUCCGUCGCCCAGGCGCUUUUGCCGCUACCAGACGCCGCAGGGGCCACCGCGGCUGCUGCCGAAGACUUGGCGGGCCCGGUACCACUGCCGCCGGCACCCAUGUCUGUGGCGCCGGAGCUGAGCCGCGCAAUGAGUGCAUCAAGGUCGUCUAGCCCCAAGCCUGCCACCGGGCCUGCAUCCAGGCUGAGUCCAGUCGCCGCCACGAGCAGCGGCUCCGCCUCCGCCUCCUGCAGGCGAUCCAUGCAGCGUGGCAUUCAGGGAGAUUGAGCAAAGUGGCCUGACCCCAACCACUAACGCUUUAAAGUUUCAUGCCGUCUUUGUACCGCGUUAUGAAUGCGACUUAACAAGAAGGGACAGUCCGAACAGCACCAUGUCCGACCUGCAUGCCGCCCGACCCAACUGCAGCCGAAACCCACAGCCCACUGCAUCCUCCCCACACCCCGAACCUUCCGCAGUCCCUCCCCACCUGGAUAGCUGCAUGGAAGUCCGCCGCGAUGCGCUGCUCCCGCUCCCGGUCUACUUCCCGCAGCUUCCGCAGCACCGCCGCACGAUCGGGACUGGUGCUGGACUCGGCACCCGCCAAGCUGCCGCUGCCGUCAUCACCAACCACUGACCCCGCGGCAGCCGAGGAGCCGGCGGCGGCGGGUCCUCCUGCCACGGUCGCGCCGAGUGCGUCGGCAGCCAACGACGCUGCAAUAGCGAGCUGCUGUAGCUGCAGCUGUAGCGCCGCGGCAUCACGUGCGGCCGCAGCAACAUGGUCAGCGUCGCUUGCUGCGGCCGCCGCCUGAGGACCAGGAUGAGAGGAAGCACGAGGAAUGACCGACAACCCCUUAUGAGCAGUGAGCGGGAGAGUUGUGUGCAACGGCCCCCUAAGGCACUGCAACCACGGGCAUGAUGUUGGCGCCGUAAUUAGGGCCCGGAGAGGACAAGCCCUAUGCUGCUUCUUGAGCCGCAUCCCCGCCGGUUCUUACCCGCUUGCGCUCCUCCACAUUUGCCAGUCGCCCAGCAGCGCCUGACAACCAGCCACGCCCCUCAUACUCCGUGUCCGCCGCGCCCCCGCCUGCACUGCUCCCGUCUUCAUCCUCAUCGUCCUCUGCGUCGCUACCCGCUUUUUGGGAGGCCCUCGCUUGAAGACGUGCAGCUGGUACUGCAGGACCUGCUGCAACGCAACACGGGGCCCAGGAGUGACAACACAGGAAAUGGUUAUUAGCAGCUGUAGCAAGGAGGUGCUGCCUUGCGGUCUAUCAUGGGCGUGCAGCCGCAUCUGCCGCGGUGGCUUCGGCUUCGGCACUGUGUCUGCCGCUCUCGCACCUGCACUGCGCCGCGCUGCUUGCUCUGUACGAGCAGGCGUUGACAGAGAGGAACGAUCGUGGCUGUGACCAGGAAGCGUAGCGAACUCCGCCCCGGCUGUCUGCUUAGAGCUGGGCAGUGCGCCGGGAACCGCUGCUGAGGGUGCCACGGGUUGCGGCCGAACCGCCACUCGUGGCGACUCCGCCGCGGGCAGCCGCGCUCGCCCAGGGCUCACCAGCUCCUGGUUUUGGUGUCGAACAUACCCGUCAAGUCAAACCAGCAAUCAGUACGGGUUGGGCUCAGCUCACCUCGUCGCCGAUCAUUGACUCUUGCGCUGCCCAGUUAAUAUGACUGAACACGACCUCCGUCUCGGAGUCAUCAUCGUCAUCAGAGGCCCCAUCUCCUCCAAUCGACGGCAAGUUCUGUAUGUACACAGAGAACAAUAGAAAUUUGUCAACAUGUCCCGCUGACUCCCGCAUGCUCGAGCCCAAUCCACGCCACCCAGAUUUGCAGUUAUCAAGCAUAAUGCGAACGCACAGUGAUGGCGGGUCGAAGCACCAGCGACGACAGGCGACGUUCGUGUGAGCCCUCGUCGCUCGAGCCUUCGCCUGAGCCAUCAGAGCUUUUCGGCAUGCUGGCUCGAUAUCAAAGCUCGAAGUUGAAUAGAUGCAGACCAAGUCAAAGAAGUCACCCCUGCAUCUUGAAAGACCGGAGUCCCGCUAUCCCCGGUUUGGUUCCUAAGUGAUGGCCACGGUGGUCUUCGAGUUGUAUGCUAUGUUCCAGUGCAAAGGUUUGUCUUGAUGGGCCAACGUAAAGUCGCCCGCCCGCUUCCCCAUGCACCGUGGCCGCCACGCUUCCCGUGCACAUGCGAAUUUGCAGCCCAGCUGCACGUACCGGUCUCCUUGCCAGGCCUUGCCAGCCUCCGCCGGUUGACCGGCUCACGGGCCGAGGUCCUUAACAGUUGGGGCGAGGGUUUGGGUGGAAUGCCCCAAGAUCCAGACCACCCCUCAUCCAGACGGUCAUCCAGAGUCCCAGACGGUUCAAGAGGCAUGAUCGGUGCCAACACAGACUUCGUGACCCGCCCGCCCGCCCUCACCCGCCCGUCUUGACGCCGACCGCGCCUCCUGGCGCCCCCCGCCUCCGCAUUCCUCGCCCCCUCGGUCCGGACUGAAGUGCCCCGGCCUCUCCUCACCCUCACGCUCACCGCCCCCAACAUCAACCCCCUUCCCUUUCCACCUUUUCCCGCGCAAUCCUGCUUCGCCACGGAGUUUACGGGGGGGGGGGGGGCGCACCAGUCGCCGUGGAUCUGGAUUACCAGGACCAGGAAGGCGGUACCUUUCUCCCCACGCCGACGAAUCUUCUCCACCGACUGACAAGUGUUCCCCGGUCACGGGAAAAGGGGCUGAGCCCCUCCACAGUCCCACCUGUCCCUCGGUACAUGGGCACGGGAUCUCGUGGCCUGCCGUUGAAAGCCACGACGCGCAUGCUGCCUUGCAUGCUGCCCUCGUUGGAUUAGCUUUGUUUGCAACGUUGUGGCCAGGGAUUGAUGUGACGGGGAUACCAUUUAAUGUCGUUGGCAGCGACACCCUCACGGGCACCCCUGGUGUUUGGGCAAUAUCCUCGGCUGCCGCGGCCAGGGGAAAACCUGGUAAUGACCCCUGCCUGUGCCACCCACAAGGCCACAACUCCUUGGCUGCUCAAAGCUCCUUCGCGCCACCCCCAAAAAAUGGUGCGCUCCACCUGAUGCAUCCUCAAUGGCAAGACACCGGUCGCCAGGUAGGACCGAACACAAACAAGGGUUCCCCAGUGCCUGGACUCCUGGAAUCGCAUUGAGACUGUGUCCAGUUCUGUGGUAGCCUCCGCGCAACCUACCCACACGAAUUAUGAAUAUGGGUGAUCUAUCUCCAGUUCUUCCUGUCCGCAAGUAGACACCCGGGUCGAGGCCACUGGCAGGGUCGGACGAGUCCUGCGCGCUGGCCAUCGUCCCUGUGCCCUUUGCGCAAUCAGCAUUGCGUCACCCAGCUUCGCUCCCCGCAACGCAUUGCAGAGGCCGUGCCGUGCAGGCCUCGGCCCUUAUUAAGACCAGCCACCUGCCUCCUACAGGCCUGGGGCGAUCCGUUGGCUACGCACUGCCCCACACAUCCUGGCGAAAAUGAAGAAUGCGUCAUCAAGGGCAACCCAGCGUGCAGCACCUCUCACACGCCGCAGUCGGCCCGCAUAACGUCCGACCGCCAUCCUAGACGCAGCAACCAGAAAGCGUGCGAGUGCUAUCGCAUCCCAGGCCGUCACGACAGCCUCAUGUGGCCAACGUCUCUUUGGAGCAUCAUAUGGCCGCUGCCAACAAUAUGUCCUCAUCGCAAUCGGCCACACGCUCUCUCGUACCGUUUUUAUAAGGUAUAUGGGUUGUAUUUCUCCGUGCUGGAAGCCUGAUAGGCCUCCAGCUGGUAUUCCCAGCAAGCGACCCUACCCAGCCGCGCGCCCCACAAGGGACUGCGCCACGGGGACAAAAAAUCCUUGCAUCCCUGAUGACAACAGUCAUUUGCCGUACCCCUUGCUCAUACCGCCACGGUUGCAUACUCCUACAACAGCCCCCUCGAAGCCGCGCCCUGCUCCACACGUGUUAAGAAUCAUGCAUACUAUCGGCUUGAGUACUAAUACAUGCAUGCGCCAUCAACCUGUCUGGCCUGCAGGCUGCAGACCCGGCCCGCUCCUGCCCGGCCCCCGCCUGCACCGGCACUGGAACAUAUGCAGGUGAGUCAACCGCAUAUCGGCGCCAGCUCCAAGCUCGCGCGUCAGCGGUGCAAACGCCAAACGUGGGCCAAUGGCACCUCCAAUGCCCGCCAAACUUAGCGGGCCUUUAGGAACAAAAUUAUUUGUGGGGAAGGGAUUAAGUUGCCCUUAUGAAGCGGGGCGCUUGCAAAAAAAAUGAACUACAGCGUGUGCAUGUGUAAUCGUCGAGUACGUGCGCCUCAUAUCGUUGAAUCCUUAUCACCCCUUGGAACGCCCUAUAUGCAACACGCCCCGAAGCGUCUGACCUCUUCAUGCCAUGCGGCGGAACUCGGGGUUUAGCACACUGGCAUCCCGCGCAGCCAGCGCACGGUGCGCGUGAGCUUGGCCCCCACAAAAUGCGCCAAUCGUUGCGUGUGACUGCAAAGCCUUGUGCAAAUUUUAUGUCCGUUCCAACUUCAAGGCACAGCUUUCCCCACCAGAGUUACGUCUGACAUGGCGUCACACCAGCCAACUCAGCAGUCGGUACAGCGCGGCAGUAAAACCCCACACCUUAUUUCUUCUGAUCAACCGCCGGCAUCUUCGUACCUCCUUCAGGCGACAUAUGUAUGCCGCGGGCCUCCAGCACUGCUGGCGGUGCAUCAAGACAUGCCAGCAAAAAAGACCGCGCCCGUCGCUGUCAGCCGCAACAAGGUCAGCGAGCCCCACAAACGCCCCCACGCUAUUGCACGAAAAUGACAGGAGAGCCCAUAGCAACGUACAGUGGAUCUCGUGACUGCGGCCAUACCUAGCCGGCGUAAUUACCAGAAUUCUUGAGCUCCGCUUUGCCGAAACACGUGUAAAACAAGGGUCAUCGGAGAAGCUCAGCGCCGCAACGCACGGCCCCCACCGCACGGCCCCCUCACACGCGGGAAGCGCUACAGCUGGGCGGCGAGCCUUGUGCGUUGCGAUCCCUGUGUGCUGCACCAAAAGCAGCACCGGUAUCCAUGAUCGUAGUCUCUGUGUAUUGCAACGGCGACUGUCAGGCCCCUCUCCUCCAUAAAUAUAAAGCUUGUAAAGCUUGUGUCAGCUACUUCUUCGUUUUUGCUGGCGUUUCGUCCUCCAAGGUCCAUGUCCUCAAAGCCCGCGGUCGUGCACUUUCAGAUAAUCAUCA
rnacentral:lncRNA from 1 species